rnacentral:lncRNA from 1 species
GAAGAUGAUGUUCAAGAACUACAUUAUCUUAAAGCCGUAGUGAAGGAGACAAUGAGAUUGCAACCUACAGUGCCGUUACUACUUCCAAGAGAAGCAAUUCAAAAGUGCAUAGUAGAAGGGUAUGAAAUACCAGCUAAAACACGUGUUUUUGUAAAUGCAUGGGCGAUAGGGAGAGAUCCUGAAGCUUGGCAGAAUCCUGAGGAAUUUUAUCCGGAGAGAUUUGUUGAUAGUUGUAUUGACUUUAAAGGGCAAAACUUUGAGUUAAUACCGUUUGGUGCUGGCAGAAGAAUUUGUCCUGGGUUGAAUAUGGGAAUUGUAACUGUGGAGCUUGCACUUGCUAAUCUUCUUUACAAAUUUGAUUGGGAAAUGCCGCCUGGAUUGAAGAGCCAUGACUUUGAUGUUCUGCCCGGACUUGCCAUGCAUAAGAAGAACGUUCUUUCUCUUCGGGCUAAGUAUCAUGUUGAGUAGGUAAAUUAAGGCACCUCCAUCAAUAAGAAGGUAAAUUAAGGCACCUCCAUUAAUAAGGGUUUGAUCUAGCUAAAGGAAAUAUAUGUUAUGCGUCCUCAAUUGUGCUUCUCAAUGUUUUCUUUCUUUCUUCUUAUGUAUAAUGGAUGUUUACGCGAAUGGUUUUUAGUAAGUAAUUUUCUUUUAGUUCAAAAUUUUGGGAGGUAAGGGCUAGAAGAUAAUAGGGACUCUGCCCACUCUCUUAUACCUUUAAAAAAAUGAUAUGAAUGUGAGUAUCAAUUUAUCACAUUUAUUUUGUCUUACAUUUUUCUCUCUCCAAUUUCAAAUUAUAAAUGUAUAUAUAAAUACACGAAACGACCAAUCAAUAUUAUUUACUUGAUAUAACUAAUAAGUAAAUUCAUGGCUUUUUCUAUCACCCCUUUUUUUGUUAGGAGUAUCAGUAAAAUCAGCUCUGUAAUGCUCUACAUCUUUACCGUGAAAGCUGCAUUUUUAUGGAAUCAGCUUACAGUUAUGUACUAACCAAAAAAAAAGAAAAAGAAUAUUACAUCAAUUCUUCAUUGAGAUUUGAGACAUUUUCUUCCUCCAGAAAGUAUACAAGUUAAAAAAACUACACAUCAUUGUGAUUUCAUAACAGCAUCAUCCAUCACUUUCCUAUGAGCUUUUUAUGAGGCCGGAGGCUAAAGCACAAUCAGUUGAGCUGUUAUUGCAUUUCCCACAGCAAGACUGUGGCAAAUCAGUUGACUUUUGACGUUAAAUGGUGGUUUCGGCUUGCAGUCACUUGUGUUUGUUCAAUUUCAAUAAAGGAAAUUUCAUUUUUGUUAAAAUCCAUGAAUAUUAAUUACUACCUUGUUCGCUGUUCAGUAAAACUAAAACAACACCAAAACUUAAAUAUUUUCGCUAUAUCACAAACUUAAAUAUUUUUUUUUUCCCCCUAUACAUCCCUAGUAAGGUUGACAGAAAAAAACCAAAUUUCAAUCGGUAUUGGGAUCCCCUCCCGAAUGAUAGGGGAUUUGGCACUAAUUUUUAAAAUCGAUUCGAUACUAAUUUUAACAAACACUUGCUUUAAACCAACUUAUUCUUCUACCACAUAAUUUACUUAACUUUCAUUACAUGAAAAAUAGUCAUUUUUUUUACCUAACUUGUUCGACAAUAGUUAAAUAUGUUGGUGAGAGGGCAGUUUUCAAUUGUAAAAAUCAAGACAUCGAGAAAAACUAAAAUGGCUAUUUGGUUUUUCUAAUGAAAAACUAAAACAACUAUAUGGUUUAGCGUGAAAUUUUAGCUUCAUUGGUAUUUAUGACGAUUGUAACUAACCAUUAAAAAUGCAUAAUUAUUUUCUACCUGUAGUGAUUUAGGUGCUGUAGAAUUCGAUUAGCAACCUAAGCACUGCCCAAGAUCACAAACCAGAUCCACUAGAUGCUAAGAACCCAAACAAUCAAGCUUUAAGUUUCAACAAAACCUUUAACGAAAAUGGCUUAAUCAGAACACACUCAGAACAAGAAUUAGAAACCAAUCACACCCAAAAGAAAGAGAAAUAUUUACGUGGUUCGAUUGUGCAAAGAAGCACAAUCUACAUCCACGGGAGAAGCCCACAGAGCAAGCUUUAUUGAUGAUUCAAGUAAUCUUUACAGAGCAAUACAAGAGCUAACUACUAGGAUCAAGACGAAGCUUUCUCUCUAUCUUAACUCUCUCUAUCACGCUCUCAGAUCAUCCAUGAAACUGCUUCUUUAACCAGCUUAUAUAGCAGCUGAUAAAGAACCCAGAAGUUGCAGAUUUCCGCCACCUGGACUAACAGCUUCUAACUGAUUUGAUUCUCCACCCCCCGUGCACUUCACAUGUUUCACUUAAGCCUUUUGCCGAAACGUCUCCAGCUCCUGCCGUUUUGAACUUAAGUGAAUCACAUGCCAUGCUCGUGACUCCUGAGUAUAUUAAACAUAUUCCAAACGUUGUCGUUUAACAUGCUCAAGUUUUGGAUUCAACAUUUUAGUCCACACUACCGUUUCAAAAACAUAGUCGAAAAUAAAAUAAUAUUUUCAAUUAUUGUAAUUUUUAAUCAAAAAUAGGAAAAUAUUUUUAAACGUAACUAGGAGUUGGUUGAAAAAACCAUUAAAAAGAUAUAAAAUUUUAACAGACAACAUGGGCACCAAUAAUGUUUUUCACUACUAUAACUUGCAAGGUUGGUCAAAGCAAAAGCUGUAAGGGUAAGUAAAUAUAAUAUAAAAUUAUAUAUCAUCUAAAAGAAAAGUAAUUGUACGUUUUUUUUUCUUAGUUUACUAUUUUUUUUAUCAAACAUGAACUAGAUAAUUAAAUAAUUAAUUAAUUAAUGUAUUUUUUUUAUAGAAUUAAUUAAUGUACUUAAUUGAAAAUAAAAUUAACUUCUACGAUGCAAACAGAAUUUGAGCCCUCAACUGAAAAGAUAAAAUAUGAAAGUGCCUACCACUGGAGCAAGAAAUAAUUUUCAGUAAAUUAUAAAUUAAAUAAUUAUGAAAGGAUUGAUUUUUUCUAAAGGUUUUACUAGGUGCAACAAUGGAAUUGAAUUACCUUAUUUAACUUAGAAGAUAUUGAUUGAUUACAGCAUAGAUAUAAUGUAUGAUAUCUUAAAUUAAACAUCAAUUAACUUCGAAAUUAUAUUGUAGUUCAAAUAAACUCGAUAAUAUUUAUGAUCACAUUCUAUCUUAUACACAAACUUGAAACUUAUGUUAUUGAUUAAGUCUCAACUAUUUUAAUCAUUAUCAUUGAAUCAAUUUAGAAAUUGAUUAUCGAACUAGCUGGUAUUUUAUAGUUAAGUAUUUAAAGAAAUAAUGUCUAUGAUUGAUCAUAAUUAUUGUUGAAUCAAUUUGGAGACUAGCUAAUUUUCAAAUUAAUGUAAUUAUCUAGUGGUCAAUUUCAAUAAAUAGAGUCUAAUAGUUUUCAUAGUUGUAUUAUACUCAUAAUUGUGGAACAUGGAACGUAUACUUCAUACUUAAAACUUAUUGCAUAUAUUAAAAAAAAUAGAUGAUUAGUAAUUAACAUUUAAUUAUAGUUGAAAUAUUAAUUAUUAAAUUAGUCUAAUUGUCUAAGAACAGUCAUACAAUUAAUUUCAAUAGAUAACAAGAACUAUUGCAAUAAUUUUUUUAUAUUUUAAAACAUAUCUCAACUAUGAAUUAUUAAAACUAAUAUAGCUUCAUAGUUUUUAGGCCAAUAUCUAUUUUCAUCUUUUGUUUAUCUUAUUAAUUUAAAUUUAAAAUCUAUGUUAAAUAAUAAAGAUGUUCUAUCAAUCAAUUUAGGCUAUAGAUUAAUUAAACAAUCUAGUAAUCACAUAAUAGGUAUUACAUAUAAUUGUUCAAUUAUAAUAAACUUUAAAUUUGCAUUAAUGAGAUAAGAAGUUUUGUUUUGCAAUUAAUCGAAUCGUAUGCUAAUAAUUUUCAAUAUUUAUUAUUAUUUCAAUAUUUAUUAGUAUGAAAUAACUAACUUAGGAUAAAUAAAUUGAUUGAUUGAUUUUUUCUUAAAUUUUAAUAUCUUGUAUUAUCUCUAUUAACUAUUUGGUCCACUGCCACCUAACUAAAGUUUUUAGUGCAAGUGUAUGUGUACCUAUUCUCCACUCUCUCUAACAAAUAUCUCAAUUAGCCACCGAAUCAAAUCUAAUAAUAGAAUAAAUAAAUAAAAGCCACCGAUAUUAAGCGCAACGGAUGAAUUCAUCUCCUCUUCUUUUGUAUAUUCUCUCCAAAGCUUUCAACUCUAUUUUGGGGUCAUUUUCUUAAUUUUUUUUAAUUAAACUAUAUAGAAACUGGGGAGAUGUUUUCAGAUAUUUAUUAAUUUUUAUCCUUCACCUUUAAUUUCUUAAGUUUGACAUCAGUUAUUGUUGGCCUCACUCUCACAUGGUUGGUUUGAAGCUUUUCUAUCAUGUAGUUCGGUGAAAAUUAUUUGAUUAAUCGUGACUUGCAGGUAAGAAUUAUAUUAUUAUUUUGUGUUAUGUUUUUAAUUUAUUAGAUUUUAAUUCACAAUUUAUUUGAUAACAAGUGAAAGAGAUGUUAAUUAGGAUAGAUUCAUUUUCUUGUUUAGUAUAUAGGAUUUUCUACUUUAAUUUAAUUGUAUCUUAAUAUUUUUUUUAUUGUUAUCAAGGGAAUUAAGAGCCUAGGAAGAAAAAAUUAUGAUAUUCAACUUUCAUAAGGAUUCAGUUGCUCAAUCCACAUUGAUUCUAUCUUUUAUCAACAGCAAAAUAUCAUUGCAAGAGUGCCAUGUAGCCUUUGGUGUAUUUUAUUUUAUUUAAAUAUUUGUCAUGGAUUCAAUGAUUAAUACGUAUUUAUUUUAUCUUUUAGUAGCAUUAAGUUAUUGUAAUAGCAUCAUGUAGCUUUAAGUCAUUGUAAUGGUGUCUUGUAGCACUUGUACUUUGUUUGAGUUGCACAUGUAUUUGUUGAAAUUAUUUAUAAAAGGAUAUUUGUCGAUUGAUUCAUUGAUUUUUUUCUCCUGAGGCAAUUAAUAAAACCAUUUUCAGCCAUAUAUAUUUGUCUACUAAUUCAUCAUUUUUUUUCCUAGAGGCGAUUAAUAAAAUGAUUAUUUUAACGAUGAAGUAGAAUCAAAUGAAUUUCAAUAAUCAUCUUCUUGGAAAUACUAAGAUUCAAUUAGAACUAAUAUUUAUUCGACUAUAAUUUAUUUUUUCCAACUGUUUUUACCCCUAAAAAAUAGUGUAUUUUUAAUGGUAAUUAGUUAGUUGAAAUUGAUAUUGCAAAUACAACUGCUAUCGAAAAUACUCUUUUUUACUACUUAAGGUGGUCAUAAAUAUCAGUCAUUAGUCACAUGUCCAUAUUAAUUUUCAAUCUAUAUUUAUGUAUUUAUGAUUGUCAAUUUCGCACCAAAUAAGCAUAUUUACGGCGGCCAAUCGGUAAAAGUGUGUUUCUAACCUGGGUAUUAGCGAUUACCAGCGACUGAUUAAGGCCAUUGGAAAAACAUAUUUUCAACAGUAUAGCACUUGUUUCAACUGCAUUCAGCAGUUAUAAAAAGUUAUUUUUCUUGUAGUAUAUUUAUACCGCACAUUUUGACUACCACUAAUUUAAGUUGCCUGAUGAACAUAUUUACCACACAUAAAAACUAAAAUAUCUGAGAUAUUUCUUUAGAUAUUUCUAUAGAUAUUUUAACAUUUUAGAUUACAAUAUUUUUCAACACUUGAUUUAAUCACCAAUCGUUGACUAUGAUGACGACAAAAAAUCUAUUUCAUUGUGCUAACCUCACAAGUGAAAAGGACUCCACAAGAGUACAAAACAGAGCCUUGAUCUAAUAAUAUUACCGAAUAUAGCAUUUUGUUUCCUUAUAAAUGGAGAGAGGUUCUGUCUUUGCACUGCAUAACAGAUAUUAAUGGCUUUACUUAUCGUCAUCAACUUCCUUAUGUGUCUCUCAAUCUUCGUCAUCUUCUUUGUUUUGACAUCAAUUUUGUUGGCCUCACCCUUGGCUGAAAGCUUUUUCUGUCAUGUAGAACGGUGAAAAUUAUUUGAUUAAUUGUGGCUCGUAGGUAAGAAUAAUUAUUGUUUUUUGUGUUCAUGUUUUUAAUUUAUUGGAUUUUAAUUCACAAUUUAUUUUAUAACAACUGAAAGAGAUUUUAUUUAGGAUAGAUUCAUUUUCUUGUUUAGUAUAUAGGAAUUUCUACUUUAAUUUAAUUGUAUCGUAAUUUUUUUUUUAUAUAUAUUGUUAUGCGGUGAAUCAAGAGACCUAGGAAGAAAAAAUUAUGGUAUUCAACUUUCAUAAGGAUUCAAUUGCUCAGUCCAUAUUAAUUCUAUCUUUUAUCAACACCAAAAUAUCAUUGCAAGAGUGCCGUGUAGCUUUUGGUGUAUUAUUUUUUAUUUAAGUAUUUGUCAAAGAUUCAAUGACUAAUACAUAUUUAUUUUAUCUUUUAGCAAUAUUAAGUCAUUGUAGUAGUAUUGUGCAAUAGGGAUGACAAAACCCCGGGCCGGGUCCGGGUAUUGCAAUGACCGGACCCUACCCGGAUGCAACCGGUCCGGGUCCAGGUCUGGGCCGGGUUUUAAUCCGAGUACCCGAAUUUUAUAUUUUUUAAUAUUAUAUGUGUAUAUAUUUUUUAUUUUUUGGUAAUUUUAUAAGUUUUAAAUUUAUUUCAAUAAAAUUUGACAUGAAAAUAUAAACUUUAAGUGUUUAAAACUUUAUAUAUGUAUAAUAAAUUAGUCAAAUAAAUAUAAAUAUUUAAAAUAAUAUAUAUUUUAUAAUAUUUUUGUAAUAAAAUCCGGGUUCUGGGUUUAUCAAGUGAUGUCCAAGACCGACCCGGCUUCAUACCCGGCCCAUAACGCCCGGGUACGGUUCGGGUCCAGACCGGGCGGGUAUUUUUGCCACCUCUAUCUUACAUCUUUAAGUCAUUGUAGUAGUGUGGUGUAGGAUUUGUAUUUUGUUUAAGUUGCACAUGUAUUUGUUGAAAUUAUUUAUAAAAGAAUAUUAUUCCACUAAUCCAUUGAUUUUUCUUUUUUCUAUGGGGCAAUUAAUAAAAUCAAUUUGGGCCAUAUAUUUGUCAAUUAAUUCAUUGAUCAUUUUCCUAGGGGUCCAGCUACCUUGCGUCAUGGGUUUGGUACCGCAGUUGUUUGUCUCUUAGCGAAUGACCCUUUAGAUUGUACUGAAUGCAUUCUGCACUAUGGUCCAAUAAUUCUCUUUCAAAUACACUUAGGUCCCCAAAUCAAUAGCUCAAUUCUUCACAUUCAAUUUAAAGCUUUUUUUAACUUCAUUAUCAUUUAUUUAUCAAACAUCACAUACCUGAUGCAGAUCCACCAGGUGUUGAGUUUCUACCAGCAUUCACUCUUGAGCUUGAUGUUGUUUCCAAGUUCUUGCAACGCUUCUGCUUGGCACAGAGAAGUAAAUUUUGUAAGUAAGUACACUCAAUCAAAUACUUCAUACUUAACAUUGAUUGCAUAUAUUAAAAAAAAUGUUAGAUGAUUAGUAAUUAACAUUUAAUUAUAGUUGAAAUAUUGUUUAUUAAAUUAGUCUAAUUGUCUAAGAACGGUCAUACAAUUAAUUUCAACAUAUAAAAAAACUAUUGCAAUAAUUUAUUUAUAUUUUGAAACAUAGCUCAACUAUGAAUUAUUAAAACUAAUAUAGCUUCACAGUUUUUGCAUCAAUAUCUCUUUUCAUCUUUCGCUUAUCUUAUCAAUUUAAAUUUAAAAUCUAUGUUAAAGAUGUUCUGUCAAUCAAUUUAGGCUAGAGAUUAAUUAAACAAUCUAGUAAGCACAUAAUAGGUAUUAUUAUUAAUUGUUCAAUUAUAAUAAACUUUCAAAUUGCAUUAAUGUGAUAAGAAGUUAUAUUUUGCAAUUAAUCGAAUCAUAUGCUAAUAAUUUGCAAUAUUUAUCAGUAUGAAAUAACUAACUUAGAAUAAAUUAAUUAAUUGAUUGAUUUUUUCUUAAAUUUGAAUAUCUUGUAUUAUCUCUAGUAACUGUUUGGUCCACUUAAUUACUAAAAUCCCACCUAACUAAAGUUUUUUGUGCAAAUGUAUAUUUACCGUAACCCACGUUCUCCAUGCUCUCUAACAAAUCUCUCAAUUAGCCACCGAAUCAUAUCCAUUAAUAGAAUAAAAAUAAAAGCCACCGAUAUUAAGCACAAUGGAUGAAUUCAUCUCUACUUCUUUUGUAUAUUCUCUCUAAAGCUUCAAACUCUAUUUUAGGGUUAUUUUCUUAAUUCUUUUGAAUCAAGCUAUAUAGAAUCUGGGGAGAUGUUUUCAAAUAUUUAUUGAAACGACCCGCCCCGAAUCAACCCAGACGAGUUUAUCUAGUCUCAUCAAAACGGACUUGAUAAUAAUUUUAUUCGUAAAGAUUCUGCCGAAAAUUCGGCAGAGUCUCCUUUAUAUAUAUAACACUCCCAAUCUACAAAUAUGAAUAUAACACUCUCAAUACAAGUCAAUAUACAACAAACUCUAGUGCUCAACAUCCUCAACCAAAAUGCUGAGUUUUAUAUCUCCAGAGUCUCAAAAGAUAAUAUUAUAACUAAUAUUAAUAUCUCAAUUUAUUCUUAAUCCCAAAAAGAAUAAUAUAACAAAAGUAUACAAUCCCAAAAGAACAAGAUGACCAAGAUAUCCUAACAAAAACAUUUAUAUCUUCUAACACCAUCACGUGACCAAGACUCAAAAUAUAUUUACAGUCGCUGGGUCGGUCUGGUGUACCUGCAACCUCCUGGUGAGGGGGGAAAAAUAUAAUAAAAACGGGAUGAGUCUAAAACUCAGUGAGAUCAGUGAGUGGAUAGUAGUUUUGAAAAUUAAUUCUUACUUUAAAAGAAAUAAUCAUAUCAUUUCCAAACAUGAUUGCACUAAACCAUAAGCGAGAAACCAGAAAUAAAUAAUUAAACAUUUAAAUCAGAUUACUAACCAUGGAAAUCAUAUCACAAUAUCAUAUAGAAUUCACAAAUCUGAAAAUCAUCACCAAACAAGUACCCAGGGAAAUAAUCUCGUCAUAUCCGGACCUCAACGGACGAGCAAUGACGUACUAUCUGGGUAACGUCACGCCCCGGAGCUACACGGAUAGACAGGGAAAUACCAUCUCAUAUCUCAUCAUAUCCGUGCAUGCAUAAUCUAGUCCCCAAAUGACAAAAACACCCAAGCACAUGGCCCAAAGCCUAUGUGUGUACUCAGACGGGCCCCAAAGGCCUGUAUCUCAUCUGUAUCAUUUGUAUCUCAAUAUCUGUUUGUAUCUUAUAUCUGUAUCUCUGUAAUCAUCAUACCGCAUGCAUAUGCCCCCAAAAGGCAAAAACGCCCAAACACAUGGCCCAAAGCCUCUAUGUGUGUUCAGACGGGCCCCAAAGGCCUCUCAUCUCAUAUCACCUGUAUUACUGUAUCUGGAGGAGAAGGAUACUGUCUAAUGAUUUCAAAAACAAUCAUUAUACUCAUAUUCACAUACCUUUUAAUCAUACUUUAAAUCAUACCACAUUCAAAUCCACUUUUCUUAUCUUUAAAAUAUUAUCAUGCUUUAUUCAAAGUCGAUACGCAAAAUCAAUAACCAAACAUUUUAAUAAAAUACCAAUGCGUGAAUAAAAAUCCAUUUCGAGGAAAUCAUUAAAUCAGAACAUUUAAAAUACUUAUUUCACAAACAUGCAUUACUAUCAUAAUUAACUAUGAAAAUAGGUUUUGUAUAUUCCACUCACAGUGACGGUGUUCACGGUCGGUUAUCGUCCACGUCCGCGGACCGGUUCUCGCUCGCGGAUCCUCCUAAAUCAAGGAAACGACAUAAUUAUUUUCCGUAAAUCGGAAUUACGGCUAAAUUUAUGCAAUAAACUCGAAACGAACAUCUAUCCAUAAUUGACAACUCCCGUGUCCAUAAAAUUACUAAAAUGCCCUUGAGUCCGUAAAUCAUUAACACAUACUCUGAAAUUGUACAACACCGAAUUACCCUCGGAAUCGUAAUUACACCCACUCCUCAAUUCUAGGAAUUACUAAAAUAUCCACAGGCUCAGAAAUUACAAAAUUGCUCUCAUAGUGUGAAAUUACCAAAAUGCCCUUGCCGGUCAACGGUCACAGGAAUUUGGUCAACGCUGGUUAGGAAGCUCAAAUCUGAAAGUUCAAAUCACGCUGAGUUCAAUGGUACCGGCGGUGAGCUCCAUGCGCGGCAACGGCGCCGGAAUCGAGCUCGACAGCCGUGAAUUCCAACAAUCGACCGGCGGCAAAAUAGUGACUCUCGGUGCCUAUGGAUGGUCGGAAAUGGAAGAGGGAGUCGUGGGGAACAAGAUCCAACCGGUGGUGUCACCCAAAACCGGCGAAAAUCCCGGCGGAGUAAAGUGAAACAAUCGCGGGUUCAAGCUUCAAUUGCCGGCGUUCCGGUUGGUUUUCGGCGGCGAGGAUGGCACGGGAACGACGGUCGGCUUCUAAGCUUCAGAUUGGUACCAAGCUCGGCUGAAACGGUGGCCGGAAAUGGGAGAUAUGGUCGGGUCAAGGUCGCCGGUUCCGGGUCGAGUUUUCGGGUCCGUAGUUGGAUCGGUUUGGCAGUUUCCCUUCACUCUCUCUCACACGUGCAUGUUUUUACCCUGUUUCCAGCUUAUUCUUUUACUUAUAAACUCCUUAACCGCCUCAUUUUCAUUUUGAAAUUCACAUAUGUUACAUUUAUUACCUUUUGUCCUUCACCUUUAAUUUCUUAAGUUUGACAUCAGUUUUGUUGGCCUCACCCUUGGCUGAAAGCUUUUUCCGUCACGUAGAUCGGUGAAAAUGAUUUGAUUAAUUGUGGCUCGUAGGUAAGAAUAAUUGAUGGUUGUCGAAGUCAGUAAAAAUAAAUACUUACUCUAAAUAAAUUGUGUAUAGUGAUUGAGCAGGGUCGUGUCCACAGAGAUCGGUAAUAUUUAAAUCUUUUUUAAAAUGUAAAUUGCAAAAUGGGGGGAUUGUUGAUAAUAAUAAAAAUCAAAUUAAAAUUGGGAAAAGCUUUAGUUGAAGGAAUUAACUCAGCUUGAUUCGACUACUGAUCAUUAAUUCAAAUAUAAAUCAUUACUACUUAUGAAUAGACCGGUUAUAGCUACUGAGACCCUCUAAUAGCUAAUCUCUCAUUAACUAGUCGAUAACCAAGGUACGACCAUUGGUUAUUUCCCUAAUCAAUAGAUAACCCUAGAUACGAUCAUAAAAUUUAAUCAAUUGACAGCCUGAAAAAUCAGAGAGACCCAAAUCCUAAUCAACAAACGCAUACGAUGGUUCAUUUAAAUUAGAUUGUUUAUUCUCAUAACACAACGCACUACUAUGCUAUUUGUCACAAAUAUUAAAAUCUUCAUACGAUGAAUCCUUUAAUUGACAAUAGAUUAAGUUGAUAAUUAAAUAGUGGCCAAUUAUCUAAUUAACAAACAUAAUCAUGACAAUAAUUUAGAGAAUAAACAAAUACCCAAAAAGUAAUAAAAUAAUUAAAGCAUAAGAAAGAUCUCACAGUAAUGAUGAAUCAAAGCUUCAUUAAUCUUCAACCAGAAUAAUAGGUUUAGUUAUUCACAGAGAAAAGAGAAAAAUUUAGAUCUAGGGUUUUUUUUUUACAAUAGAUUCCCCCCUUUAAUUCUCUCUCCCCUCUUCUCCUCUAGAGUUCUUUUUAAAAUAAAAUACUAAUAUCUAUUAUCUAAAUAUUAAAUUCGGAAUUACAAAAAUAACCAAAAAGAUAAAACACGUUAAACUAAUAACUGCAGAUCCGUAGUUGACAAUACGCGUCCACGCCUUAUCAACAAAGUUCUUCUGAAGCUCAUAAUUUCUCCAGGAAAACAAUCAUCCUAAAAAAUCAUCUUGUAGCUCAACUUUAUUACCAAUCAAUAGAAUUACACCUACAGAAAUAAAACACAAGUAAAUCACUAUUAUUAAGUGCAAAACAUCGAUAUUAAAGAAAGUAAACAAUGCAAAACUAGAGCAUAAAUUGCACUCUAACAAUAAUUAUUGUUUUUUUGUGUUCAUGUUUUUAAUUUAUUGGAUUUAGUUCACAAUUUAUUUUACAACAACUGAAAUAGAUGUUAAUUAGGAUAGAUUCAUUUUCUUGUUUAGUAUAUAGAAUUUUCUACUUUAAUUUAAUUGUAUCUUAAUUUUUUUUUUUGUUUAUAUAUUGUUAUGCAGUGAAUCAAGAGACCUAGGAAGAAAAAAUUAUGGUAUUCAACUUUCAUAAGGAUUCAAUUGCUCAGUCCACAUUAAUUCUAUCUUUUGUCAACACCAAAAUAUCAUUGGAAAGAGUGCCGCGUAGCUUUUGGUGUAUUAUCUUUUAUUUAAUUUUUUGUCAAGGAUUCAAUGACUAAUACAUAUUUAUUUUAUCUUUUAGCAACAUUAAGUCAUUGUAGUAGCAUCAUGCGGCUUUAAGUCAUUGUAGUAGUGUCGUGUAGGAUUUGUAUUUUGUUUAAGUUGCACAUGUGUUUGUUGAAAUUAUUUAUAAAAGAAUAUUAUUCCACUAAUCCAUUGAUUUUUCUUUUUUCCAUGGGGCAAUUAAUAAAAUCAAUUUGGGCCAUAUAUUUGUCAAUUAAUUCACUGAUCAUUUUCCUAGAGGGGAUUAAUAAAAUGAUAAUUUUAACGAUGAAGUAGAAUAAAAUGAGUUUCAAUAAUCAUUUUCUUCGAAAUACUAAAAUUUAAUUAGAAAUAUAAAUUUUUUCAAACUAAAAUAACAUAUUUUCAAUUGCAUAACCAAUUAGAACUAAUAUUUUUCCGAUUUUUUUUCAUCUGUUUUUACCCCUAGAAAAUAGUGUAUUUUUAAGAGUAAUCAGUUAGUUGAAAUUGAUAUUGCAAAUACAACCGCAAUCGAGAAUUCUCUCCUUUACUACUUAAACUAGAAAAUAGAACCGCGUUUCACGCGGCUUUGAAAAAAUUUAGUAUUAUCUUUUUUUCUUACUUUACACUUGAUGAAAUUGAUAAAAAAUAUGAAUUGAUUUUUUUUUUAAGAUGAGGCGGCCUUAUAAAAAAUAAAAAAAGAUAUUAGCCAGCAAUACAAAUAAAGAAGCAACGCAAGAUAAAGAAUAAAAUGAGAUAAUAUAUUAUAGAGUGAUUUUAUUCAUUCUAAUUGUGUGUGUACAAAAUAAAAAGAUGAGCUCUCCUUUUUAUAGUUACAUAAUCACUCCAUGAAAUUAAUGAAAAAUUAUGGAUCAUAAUUCAUUGUGAGAUAGUGGGAGUUAUAGGGAAGCUAAAGGUUGCUAAUGGGAGAUAGUGGGGAGACUAAGAGAUAUAUGUUAUGAACAUCUACAUUUAUUUUAAUAAAUUCAUAACACUCCCCCUUGGAUGUUCAUUACAAAGAAUAUGCCUCAUUAAAAUCUUUACAUAAUUGUUAUUGUGUAAUAACAAUCAAAUUAAUUAUGAAAAGAUGAAAAGCCAAAUCUAAAAGAAAAUUUAUCUAUUUAUUAGAUAAUAGAGAAUAUACAAAGAUGAGAAAUUGUGAUGCCACAUCACCUCCUCAAAUCCCAACUUUAUAUAUAUAUAUAGAUUGGUCAUGAAUAUGAGUCCUCAGUCACAUGUCCAUAUUAAUUUUGAGAAAUUUAUAAAAAUGACCAUAGAACUUUUACGUUUUUCAACUUUAACCCCCCAAAAUUUUUUCUAUCAUAACUAGCCAAAUAUCUUAUUUUUGGACUAGAUUACCCUCAUCACUUUCAUCAAAUUCACAAAGGUAUGCCACUUUUUCAAUUCCAGCACCACUAAAUACGAAUCUUCCUCAACAACUUAACAAACCUUCAUCACUCUCAACAAACUUCAUCACUCUCAAUAAAUCAACAAAUUCCAUCAAACAAACAUUGCAUAAUUGAAGAUACAAUCAUCAAUUGGAGAGCUUCUUAAAAUUAGUUUAUGCUCUUACACAAUGUAAACCUUUAAUCUAUUGAUUUUAUCAACUAAGUUCGAAAUUAAAGUGGGUUUUGUUGCAAAUGUUGUUAUUUUUCAUUCAUAAAACAAUGUGAUUUGUUAAAGUACUUAGUUUGAGUUGAGAAAUGAAGAAAAAUCAUUAAAAAUACAGAAAAAUCGGGCAAAAAAUGAAGUCCAAAACAAGUGAGACAAGCAGUGAGACAUGUGUCUGUCUCACAUAAACCCACUGAUUUUAUGGAAUAUAUGAUUUUGGAUUUGAUUUGUCUCGUCGUAAGCUUCGAAACGGUAUAAUUAUUACAAUAUUUUGGCUCACUACUCCGAACCCCAAUACACAUAAUCUCUCAAAUCACUAGAACAAGAGCUUUUAUUAUUUAAGCUCUACAAAACUCUCUGCUCUACAGGAAAUGCUUCUCACAAAAUUGGAUGCAGAAAUGAGGAGGAGGAACCUCUUUUUAUACCAAAACUUGGCUACUGUUCAUGCUUUAUUUAAUUAUUAUUUUUUUUCUUCUUCCUUUUCGGUCCGGCAUUCAUUUUUUCUUCCUCUUUUGUCUUCUUUCUUCUUUUCUUUUGUUCCGGUCAAAGAAGCAACCAAUGCAUUCUUCUUCAAAAUCAGUGGGCCCACCUUCUAGAAGGGUGGUGCCCACAUGCCAUUUUCAUCAUUAAAUAGAUGAGGGUUGGAAUAGAAUCUUUUCAAUGUGAAUCAUGAAGGAUCUAUUCAAAAUAAAAGUGAUAAAGAUUAAGAAAGAACUUAAGAAGCUAAGAGCUUUUAGAAGUCUUUGAAGAAAUAAUAUUAAUUUGAAAGGAAAAGAAUUUAAAAUGAAGAAGAAAAAGAUAAUUGAUAAGAAGUAAGACUAACUGUACAUCUGAUUGAGGAACAGGCUUGUUAAUUCAAACUAUUAUAACCAAUUGGGAAUUGAAUUAAGUUAACAGUUAACUCGUAAUUGAAUGUCUAAACUAACAAUGUAUACAAUUACAGAUGAGACUAUAAAAUUGCAAAAAUACUGCUGAUUGUGAAUCAAUUUGAACAUGCCAAUCCUUAGGAAUUCCUUUCAGUAUCAUGGGAUUUAGAUCUCAAUUACCUUUUUUAUUUGAGUACGAUGACAUCCCGAACUAUCAAAAAUACCCACUUGUCCAAACGUGCCUAUGUCCACUUUAUCAUUUAUAUAUGAAAUGUUCUAAUUAAAUGGAGCAAGUCCACAUAAUACAAUCAUUUUCAAUUACCCAGCAUUUGGAAUACAGAUGCUUUGUUUCUUCGUUUUUUUUAUUUUUUGUUCUUUUUUAUUUACUUGAUACAACUAAUAAGUAAACUCAUAGCAUUUUCUAUCACCUCUUUUUUUUUUGGGAGUAUUAGUAAAUCAACUCUGUAAUGCUCUGCCUCUUUACCAUAAAAGCUGCAUUUUAAUGGCAUCAGCUUACAGUUAUGUGUACUAAGUAAAACAAUUCUUUAUUGUGACAUUUUCAUCCUCCAGAAAAUACAUAAAUAAAAUAAAGGAAAUUUUAUUUUUGUUAAAAUCCAUGAAUAUUAAUUACUACCUUGUUCACUGUUCAGUAAAAAUAAAACAACAGUUUUUUUUUUUUUUAAUUUAACAAUAUUGUGUUAGAAUAUACUUCCCAGGUAAGGUUGAUAGAAAAAACCAAAUUUCAAUCAGUAUUGGGAUUCUGUCCCAAAACAAGCACUUACUUAUUACAACUUUUACUAACUUAUUUUUCCACCACACAAUUUACUCAAUUUUUAUUUAUACCACACAAUUUAACUUAUUUUAACUACCACUAACUUAAGUUACUUGGCUAGGGUAAAAUUAUGUUGCAACUGUGGUAUGAUACCACAAUUACAAUCAAUCAUUAAAUUUACAGUUGUACAAUUGUAUUUAUUGGACCUAAUGAUUAAAAGUAACUGUGGUAUCUUGCAACAUAAUUGGACCUACUUUGCUAACAUAUUAUAGAAACCAACAUCCCAGAUUUUUCUUAAGAUAUUUCUACAGAUAUUUUAACAUUUUAGAUUAUAAAUUACUUUUCAACACUUAAUUUAAUCACUGAUUGUUGACGACGACGAAGCCAACAAAUUUGUUUCGUUGUGCUAAUCGGACAAGCGAUAAGGACUUCACAAGAGUACAAAACAGAGCCUCGAUCUAAUAAUAUUACUGAACAUAGCAUUUUUGUUUCCUUAUUAAUGGAUUUGUUUCCUUAUUAAUGGAGAGAAGCAGUUCUGUUUUUGCAGUGAUUAAGCGCAUAGAAGAUAUUAAUGGCUUUACUUAUCAUCAUCAACUUCCUUUUGUGUCUCCCCUUCUUCCUCUUCUUCUUUGCUUUGCAAAGGCUCAUAACCUCAAGAAAUAAUACUAAAUUACCACCCGGCCCCUGGGGCCUUCCCUUAAUCGGUAACUUACACCAGUUUGAUGUCUCAAAGCCUCAAGUGUCAUUUUGGGAGCUGUCACGGAAAUAUGGCCCCCUCAUGUCCUUGCGUCUUGGUUUUGUGCCAUCCCUAGUAGUUUCCUCAGCAAAACUGGCUAAAGAGAUAUUAAAAACCCAUGACCUUCAAUUUUGUAGCAGGCCAGCCUUGGUAGGACAACAAAAGUUAUCUUACAAUGGUCUUGAUUUGGCGUUUUCACCCUAUGAUGGUUAUUGGAGAGAGAUAAGAAAAAUUUGUGUCAUUCAUCUCUUUAACUCUAACAGGGUAGAAAAUUUUCGACCCAUUAGAGAAGAUGAAGUUUCAAGAAUGAUUGAAAAGAUUUCAAAAUCAGUUGCUGCUUCUAAUCCCGUAAACUUAAGCGAGGUAAUGAUGUCUCUUACCAGCACCAUUAUUUGUAGAAUUGGAUUUGGCAAGAGGUAUGAUGACGAUAAAGCAACAAGUGCAAGAAGUAGAUUCCAUGCCCUGCUUAAUGAAACUCAAGCCUUGUUUGUAAGCUUUUUUGUUACAGAUUAUUUUCCUUUCAUGGGCUGGAUUGAUAAGCUCACAGGAAUGAUGCAACGCCUGCAAAAUAACUUCCAAGAACUCGAUAGAUUCUACCAGGAACUCAUCGACGAGCAUUUGGAUCCAAACAGAACAAAAUCAGAAUUGGCGCAACAGGAGGAUAUAAUUGAUGUUUUACUUCAAAUACGAAAAGAUCGUGGAUUUAAAGUUGACUUGACUUUGGACCACAUCAAAGCGGUGCUCAUGGUGAAUAAUUUUAUAAAUAGUUAUAUGUAGACUCGUGCUCAGGCGCAGACUUAAAAUUUUGUGCAGAUACCCAAUUUUACAGUCUUGUAAAAUGGUUUAUAAUGCUGUAAAGUGCCUUUGAUGUCCGCCUGAACAUGAUUAAUUUAAUGUAAUUUUAUUUGCUUUUAACUAAUUUACUAUGUAUGUAUGUAUGUUGUUUGUUUUGCAGAACGUACUCGUUGCUGGAACAGACACGAGUGCAGCAACUGUGGUUUGGGCCAUGACUUACCUAAUGAAGAAUCCUAGAGCAAUGAAAAAAGUUCAACUGGAAAUCAGAUCGUUGAUUGGGUGCAACAAAGGCUUUGUAAAUGAAGAUGAUGUUCAAGAACUGCAUUAUCUUAAAGCGGUAGUGAAGGAGACAAUGAGAUUGCAACCCACAGUACCAUUACUAAUCCCAAGAGAAACAAUUCAAAAGUGCGUAAUAGAUGGGUAUGAAAUACCAGCUAAAACACUUGUCUUUGUAAAUGCAUGGGCGAUAGGAAGAGACCCUGAAGCUUGGGAGAAUCCGGAGGAAUUUUAUCCGGAGAGAUUCGUUGAUAGCUGUAUUGACUUUAAAGGGCAACACUUUGAAUUAAUACCGUUUGGUGCUGGCAGAAGAAUUUGUCCUGGGUUGAAUAUGGGAAUCGCAACUGUGGAUCUCGCACUUGCUAAUCUUCUUUACAAAUUUGAUUGGGAAAUGCCGCCUGGAAUGAAGAGCCAAGACUUGGACUUUGAUGUUCUGCCGGGAAUUACUAUGCAUAAGAAGAAUGCUCUCUCUCUUUCGGCUAAGUAUCAUGAGUAGGUAAAUUAAGGCACCUCGGACAAUAAGAGUUUGAUCUGAACUAAAUAUAUGUUAUAGAGAUUGCAUGUAUGUCCUGAAUUGUGCUUCUCAUGUUUCCUUUCUUUCUUCUUAUGUAUAAUGAAUGUUGAUGUCUAAGUGCCCAUAGGCUGAGUGGUUUUUAAUAAUUAAAUUUCUUUUAGUUCAAAAUUUUGGGAGGUAAGGACUAGAGAAUAAUAGUUACUCUGCUCACUCUCCUAUACUAAAAAAAAAAGGUUGAUAUGAAUGUGAAUAUUAAUCUAGUACGUUCAUUUCAUCUCAUAUUUUUUCUCCUAUAUUUUUUUCUUUAAAUUUAACUUCUAUCACUUAACCUGCUAUCUUUUUAUAUGAUUGGAUAGAGAUUGAAAUUUUUGCUGUUCCAUCUCAAUGUUAAUGCUUAUAUUAUCUUCACACCUUUACUGUAAUUUUUUACUUUUACUAUUAGAUGCUGAUAGGGUCUUUUCUUGGAGAUUGCUUCACAAAAAAAAUUCUGAAAGAAGAUUUUGUUGAUCGGAUAGCAAGCUUAUCCAUAUAGUUUAAUGGAUUAUCUGCAAGAGCUCUUUUUAGUGCGCAUACAGUUGUCCCUUCAUGUUAGCAUAUUCAUUCUGUCGUCAAUGAACUUUUGCAUUUAAAUGGUAUCAGUUCAAGUGAUGAAUGAAUUUUACCUAUUGCCUAUCUUGGACUAAAUUUAAUUUCAAAAAAUGAGCUUCCAGCUUAUGACUUAUACGUAUCUUGCACUUUGGUUUUACGAUCACCAUUGGAUGGAAGAGUGGCUCGAGUUUGUUAAUUGCUUCAGUCCCAGGACUAGUGUUUGGAAACAUAAAAUUUCUCAGUUCAGCAGCUAUAAAUCUGUUUCAUGAUUGUUAUUGCACACUAUUUCCUAUAUUUUUGUCUCCAUGCUCAUACUGAAUUAGUGGUGCAUUUGUCAUCUUUCGCCUCUCAUUAAAAUGUGCUUAUUAUUUUUUAUUUCAAUCGUAGGAUGGGAAGAUUGAUACUGAUUCCAUCUACAAUGGGUUUAAAGACAACGUGAGGUUAAUGUGGGAGCGUUUCUUGUCAUCCCAGCAAAUGUUGACAUAAACAACAGACUGCAAGCUUCCCCUACUCUCUGUUCAUAUUUGCAUUUGUGUGCAUCUUGUACUUGUUGUUGCAGAAAGAUGAAUAUGUAAGAAUAAGAUCGUGUUUGUAUGCAAUGGUCAAAUGUUUUUGCAAAAAAUGUCGUUGCUUGAGUUCCUCAAUUCUCAUUCUGAACUUCAAAUUUUGUACAUUUCUUUAACUUAAUUUUUUUUUUUUCUGUGUAAUAGUAGUAUAAGUUUGGUAUCAAAAUUAAGCUAGUGACAUACUUGGAUCACUUGGGAUCCACUUGCAAAUGUAUUUUGAAGAAAAGUUUUCUCCCCGCCUUUUAUGUAAUCACACCCACCAGUAAUAUGGUAAUUUAUUGAAAGGUCCUUGAUGCCCGGUAAAAGUUAUAAUUAAAUUAAUAAACUUAUCUUUUUAAAUUAAUAAACUCAUCUUUUUGAAUAAGUUCAUCAUUUUGUACGUAUAUUAGUUUUUUUUUUUUAAAUUCCUUUUAUUUCUAAACUAUUGGUUGGAAGCAAAUAUUUCACUGUAAUCUCCUGUCGACCAAAGGAGAUGCCUUUCCCAAAGCAAGAAAAGAAAACACAAAAAGCCCACUUCAAAAACUUGUGCAAGAAGGAGAUGUGAUUACGCUGUCUUUCUGUUUCUUGGUGCGUGUAUAGAUAUAUACAUACACACAUAAGUCUGAGGACCAGCUGGCCAACAGCCCACUAGGAAGCAAUUUUAAAAUUUUUGGUCAGUAUUGUUCUUUAUAUCUUAUGAAUUUUUCCUUCAAUUAUUAUAUUUUCACUCAGUUUUGUUUUUGGGCACGCGUUAUGUGAUUUUCUUUUGAUGAUUUCCGUGGCUUCUUUUUAGCUCUUAUUUUACUGUUUCUACUGGUUAGUUUAGCUACUGUCUACUGAGAUAAAAUUAUUUGCUUGAAUAACUUAAUCUUUUGCUAUUUUAUUACGUUCAGUUUAUAUACAGUUGAUUCAUUGUAACAAAUGUUAUCAUAAAUGAUUCUUGAGUAAUUUCAUUUAUUUACUUUUUCUUCUUUCAUAGUUGGCCUGUACGGUAUCAUUUACUUUUAUCUUUUUUCAAAUUUCUUUUAAUCUACAGAAUGUUUGUUUUAGUCCUGAUCUUGGGUUACUGAAAUGUUUCAUUCCCUUUUCCUAAGUAUUUUUGUUGCUUGUUUAUCGGGCAAUACUGCAACAGUGAUUUUAAUUCACAAAAUUCUGUAAAUACUUAUUAUUCUUAGUGUGGUUUUAAGGUAGAGUGAAGUUAAUAUUAUCAUAAUGGCUUACAUUCCUCCACAUAUGAGGCAUACGAAGGACCCCCAGAGGCCAUCUCCAGUUCCAGAGAUGAUUGUGCCUAAAUUCAACAGAAAAUUAAACUUGGGAUCAUCCAAGCAUAAUGCAGACAUAAGUGGAAAGAUCGUGUAUGCAGAUCCUGCCAUACACAGGUGGUUCAUUUGUGGCUUGGAUAAUGAUAGCAGCAGUCCUUCUGUCCGCUUUGUGGAGUUUUCAGACGACCCUGUUGAGCAUAAAAAAUCGACGACCAUUAAUCUGGCUCGAGGUUACUGAUCUGCAUUUGUAAUUUUAUCUUAAAUAUGUUCUACUUUCUUUCUUUAUUUAUAUCUGGUGCUAACUUUAGUUAUAUUGACAUUUGGAUUUUGGGUUGGUAGAUAACGAUAAAUUGUGUGGGAAUACAUCAAGAAGCCCAUGGGAAUCGAUAGCAGAAAAUGUAUGGCCAGAUGUAUUGAGUGCUUGUAAUAUUGUCAAGAACGAAAUGGAGGAAAAGCCAACAAUGGUUGCUAGAUUUGGCCAUCAUCUUUUCCGUGAGUAUGUGAUCUGGUUCCAUUGCUGUAACAGCUUGAAUUUUUUAUUAGGUCAUUCCUUUUCUUUGGACUUUGAAAUUAAAGCAGCAAAAAUGCAUAUUCAUACUUAAUUCUGACAGAAAUCUUAUGGUCAUAUAAGUGGUGGCAGCUAAAAUUAUGAGCUUUACCAUUAACCCUACCACCAGCUGUGGAUGACUGUAAAUCGGAUCUCUAAACCAGGGACAAAAGUUAAAAUUGCUUUUAAAAGCCAAAGAGGAAAAUGGCAAUUUAUAGUGCAUGCACUUCUUUCAGACUUGUAUCUCAUAGAAGCUUUCAUGGCAUCUGGAAUUUGGCUUUGGCUUUGCGUAGGACAUUUCAAUUGUUGCUGGUGGAAACAAAUAUAUCCAUUGUCUUAGUUUUGCUUGAUUUCCGGUGCAAGAAACAAAUAAAUUUGUUGCCGUGGCCAAGUUUUGUUGUUUGAUAUUUCAUUGGGACAACAAAGUAUACCACUGCUUCGCCUAUUUCUUACAUCUUUGCAUCAUAUAUUUCCAUUCUUCUAUCACAUCUUUGAAGCUUCUACUAGUUCUCAUAUUAGAAGCGCCUCAAAGAAAUAAUUAUUAUAUUAUUCGUCUUAAUGAAGGAGUGACAUACUGAGCUUAGAAAAUGCGAAAGAAGGUCAGGUUGCUGAAUCUGCUUUGAGCCCACUGAGGAGAUGCUUUUACACUGGUGUCCCUCCUACAUACAUGGGAAAAAUUGUAAAUGAAGUUGUGCCAAAAAUUGGGGUUGGUUUUGUAGAGAACAAGGAUAUAUACCAUGUCAAGGUAGUUCUCCUGCAGUCCUGCUAAAUACUUUAGUAGUCAUGACCAAGUUUCUUUUAUCUCUCAAUUAAUUAGCCAUUGAUUCCCCCCCCCCCUUUCUUUUUCUUGUGUAGUUGUCUGAUGGCACACGACAAAUUACGUGCAAAUGUACUGUUAAAGAAGAUCAAAAGCUUCAUCUCUAUAAGGCAAGUCUUUUGCUACUGGCUGAGUAUUAUUUAUGGACAACGGGUCCAAGUUUAUAAGUUGCCUCUUGUGUUAAGGAGACUUUUGCUAGUGGAAACAUUGAAACAAGACUUAUGAUGUUUUGAUUUGAAUGAUAUAAUCUUUUCACUGUGAAUUAUGAAGGAGAUGUCGAAUAUAAGCGAUAGAUAUCAAGAAAGAGACGAAACCUUUGUGUCUCAAAAGAACCUUUUAGAAGUCUCUCCAGGAAUAAUCUCAGUUAAGAGGAAAAGAAUUUAAAAUGAAAAGAAGGAAGAAAAUUCUCAAGAAGUAAGACUAAUUCUACAUCUAAUUGAGGAACAGGCUUGUUAAUUUAACAAGGAAAGCUCCAGUAGCUAUUUAUUAUAAACCAAUUAAAAAUUGAAUUAAAUUAAUAGUUAACUUGUAAUUGAAUGUCUAAUCCAACAAACUAUGCAUAAGAUUACAGACGUAACUAUGUAAUACAAAAAACCUCUGCUUAUUGUAGACCAAAGUGAAUAUGCCAAUAUUUAGGAAUUUCUUUCAGCAUCAUGGGAUUUAGAUCCCUAUAAUCUUUUUUUAUUUUAGUGUAGUGACGUCCGGAAGACCAGAAUUAUCACGUACCUCGUACUAGUCGUUUUAUUUAUUUUGUCUUUUAAAGCGCCACAUUAUUUCCCAUACAGUCAUAAUAUAUCUAUUUUUUGUUUAUUUAUCGUUGCCGUGUGUGGAGUCUCAUCUUGAAUAUGAACAUUUUUCCGGUAGGUCGAACUGAACUCUGUUCGUCACAUGGUAGCAGACAUGUUAUGCGUUCAUAAAAAUCUAGACCUGAGGUUGGCACUAUGUUCAAAGAGUACCUUAUCUGCUCUCUCGGUAAGUCAAUCUGCUCCUCCGUGCAUGUUUUAGCUGGACUUUUAAGUUACGCCUUCUUUUUUCCCCUUUUUAUUUUAUUUGGUCAUUUGCUUGUUGGAAUCAUCAUCAUUACAGAAUGAUGAAGAAAAAUUCAAGACCAGGGGAAAUAAGGAAAUAUUAAACUUAUAGCUUUUGUUUUAUCAUAGAAAGUUUACUUUCAAGGGGUUGAGAAAAAAUUUAUAUAUAUAUAUAUACACACACACAUACACACACACACACACACACACACGACAAGCUUAAAACGGUUAAACAUUAGCAUGCAUGAUCCUUUUCUUCAAAACUGAAACUUUACAAAUGUUAAAAAUAGAAUAACAAAUAAAUUAUUAGAUUUCCAAAAUCAGUUACCGUUAUGCAGGCUUAAAACAAAAGUUAAAUAUAAGCUCUUUUUUUUUUUUUUGGGGGGGGGGGGGGGGGGGGGGCGUGUGUGCCUAUGAGUAGUCCCAGCAAAUGAAUUCUAUGAUCAAACUGAAAUUUUUGAAUUUUCAGGAUGAUGAAAUGAACAGCAUUAGAAUUCUGAUUAAUUCAGCCAUUCCGGAUCCGGAAGUCAAGGGUGGGUUAAGAUGGCCCAUGGGGAAGUCAUAUUCAGGGGAUUACACAAUUGUUGGGGUUUGGCACAAUGAAUUUAAAUCAUAUAAAAGCCCAUCACUAAAGCUUAAGGUAAGAAAUGUUGAUCGAUUUAUUUUCAAGACUGGAACUGGGGAAGCUACGAUUGAGAUUAAUCUAAAGUUGAGAAGACUAGUUUCAGAGAUUCAGGUACUUGCUGCUUUUUGCUUUAACUUUUAUCACAAAACCUACUAUCUUUGUGCAUGAUUACAUGGAUCUUGAAAUUCUUGCUGUUAUGUCAUAAUGUUAAUGCAUAUUUUGUCUUCACGCAUUUCUUACUGAACUUGUGUCUUGAGCUGUAAUUGUAAUUUCCAAUUUUUACUAUUAGAUGGGUAUUUUAUUGGGGAUUUCUUUACUUAAAAAAAAAAUAUGUUUGACAGAGAAUAUUUUAACGAUGAGAUUGCAAUAUUGUAAUAGAUAAUCUUCAGGAACUCUUUUUACCUUUUAGUAGUUAUGCAGUUGCUCCUCUGUGUUAGCUUAUUUAUUCUAUCAUAUGUAACGAAUGACUUUUUACCAAAUUUGAUUUCAAAGCUGAGCUUCCAGCUUAUGACUAAUAUUUGUGUCUUGCACUUUUGUUUUACAAUCACCAUUAGAUGGAAGAGUGCUUAGAGUUAGUUAAUUGAUUCAAUCCCAGGAUUAGUCUUUUGAAACAUAAAAUUUAUCGGCUAAGCUAUAUAAAUCUGUUUCAUGUUUCUUAUCGCACACUAUUUCGUAUGGCUUUGUCUCCAUGCUCAUACAAAAUUAGUGUUGUAUUAGAUGUCUUCUGUCUUUCAUUCACAUGUACUUAUUACUUUUUCUUUCAAUCGUCAGGAUGGGGAGAUUGAUACUGAUUCCAUCUACAAUGGGUUUAACGACAACUUGAGGUUAAUAUGGGACCAUUUCUUGUCAUGGGAGUCAUAACUUUUGACAAAAACAACAGAUUGCAUGCUCUCCCCGCUCGGUUCAUAUUUGCGUUUGUGUGCAUCCUGCAGUUGAAGAUGUAGAAUGAUGUAAAUGCAAGAAUAAGAGCAUGUUCGUAUCCAAUGGUAAAAUGUUUUUGCUAAAAUGUAUGGACUUGUAACAGCUUGUUGCGUGAGUUUCUCAAUCUCCUGAACCUCAAAUUUUGUCCUAUUUUCACCCCGGCUUUUUCCCCCCGUCCUCUGUAAUAGUUAUAUUUGGUAUAAGUUUGGCAGUUCCUGUGUAAAGUGUUUCAUAUUCAUGUGUGGAAUAAAUAUCAACAUCCAGAUACAAGAAAGUUUGAUUUUAUUUGUAAGACCUGUCUCUCAAAGUUAAUCUAGUGACAUGCUUGAAGCACUUGGGAUCCACUAGUUGGAUGUAUUUUUGUUAAGAUUUAUUUAGCAUUUUGUAUGUGUAUCAGUGCCUUUUUUUUUUGUUGUUAAACCGUUGGUUAGAGGGCAAAUAUUUCACAUUAAAGUGGGGUCUGCUUGCCACCAAGGGAGAUGCCUUUCCCAAAGCAAGAAACGAAAACUCAAAAGCCCACUUCAUAACUUGUGUAAGAAGGAGAUGUAAUUGACAUAUGCUGUCCUUUUUCUUGGUGCGUGUAUGUGUGUGUAUACACACUUAAUUCCGAAGAUCAACUGAGCCAACAGCCAAAACUUGAAAGCAAUUUUAAAAUUUUCGGUUAGUAUUGUACUUUAUAUCUUUUGAAUUUCUCUUUAAUUUAUUAUAUUUUCACUUUAGUUUUGUUUCUGGGUACUCUUUAUGGGCCACAAUUAUGGUACCACUGUGGUACCAUACCACAGCUGGAUCCAGCCAUUGGAUCCGGCCUACAGUGGUCCCCAUAGCUGGAUCCAAUGGCUGGAUCCAGCUGUGGUAUGGUACCACAGUGGUACCAUAGCCGGACCCCUCUUUAUGUGCUUUUCUUCGAUGAUUUUGGUGAGCUCAUAUUUUACUGUUUCCACUGGUUAGUUUAGUUAUUGUCUACUAAGAUAAAAUUAUUUGCUUCAAUAACAUAGAGUAUUGAGGUGUUGUAAUUUAAAAUUUUAGAAAAAAAUAUAUUUAUAAAAUAAAAGUUAAUAGUAUGUGGUAAAUAUAAUUUUAAAAUAAUAAUUUUAAUAAAAUUAGUAAAGAUAUAAUAGAUUUUCAUCAUAUAAAAGUAAAAUCAAAUCAACUUAAUUUCUAAACUACAUAAAUUAAUUUUUAUAAAACACUUUAGUGCUGUAACUACCCAACCUCAAUCUAAAGUAUAGCCUUAAUUGUUUGCUAUUUUAUUAUGUGAUUGUAUAUAGAGUUAAUUAAUUGUAUCAAAUGUCAUUAUAAAUGAUGCAUGAGCAAUUUCAUAUUGUUUUUCUUUCCUUCAUUGAUAAUUGGCUUGUCGGAUAUCUUUGAACUUUUUUUUUUCGCCUCAAAGUUCUUUUAGUCUGCAGAAUGUUGGUUUUAGUUUCGAUCUUGGUUACUGCAAUAUUUCAUUCAUUCUUUCUAAGCAUAGUGGGUUCAUUUCACAAAAUUCUGUAAUAAGUACUUAUUGUAGUUUAAGGUAGCGCGAAGUAAUAUUAUCGUAAUGUCUUACAUUCCACCACAUAAGCAGCAGUUUGUAAUCAAGACUGCAGAGAAUCUUGCAGAUAUAUUGACUAAGGUGGUGACGACAAUUAAGUUUGAGCAUUAUCUAAACUUGAUCAAUAUCUUACAAGUUUGAAAAUAGUCAGAGAAGACAGAGACUGGAGGAUGGUUUGUUGAUAGUCGGCUCAGAUUUACUAAAUUUUCGUUAAGGUAGAGAAUUGUUGAAAAAUCAAGCAUGCUUGCAUGAGCUAGCUAGCAUGCAAAUUUCAAGCCCACCAAUGUUCAGCUAGCGUGAUCCAAUUGCAUGUGCUAGCAUGAUCUCUUCGUCAAAAGUCACACCAAAGCCAUUAAAAUUGAAAAUGGCCAAAGUUUUUUUUUCAUGCAUUUAUAUUGUAAGAUUUGCCUAUAAAUAGAGGAGUAGAAUGCAUUUGUAAAGCAUCCCAAUUUGUGAGAAGUAGAGAGCAAUUGCAAGUGAGCUCUUUGAGAGAAUUUGAGAGAGCUUCCACUUGAGUGUUCUAGUUGUUGUGCAAAUUUUAAUGUACUCGCAAGCGCACGAAUCUAUUGUAGUAUAGAUCAAUGGUGACGAGUGUCGAUCCCACGAGGAGGUGGAUUUUAAUUGUGUAUAGAAUUAAUUUUGUAAAUGGGUGGUUGGAUCUGUGGUGGAAAUGAAUUGGAAUAUGCUAAAACUUAAAUUAAAAUGGCGAGAAUAAAUUCUAAAAUUGGAAUUGCAAUGGCGAGAAUAAAUUGAAGAGAAAUGUAUUGAAAUGACGUACUUGGGUAUCUGGAUCCGUAUCAACAUGCAUCAUGGGCUAAAUAAUCCGUAUUAAUGCCAAUUAAAUCAUGAGGGGGGAAUCCACACCUCAUGAACCACGCUCUAAUCAAUAUGGUGCUAAGGGCUUAUCGUGCCAAAUAAUAAUAACCUUAUACUAGAGAGCCGGUGUAACCAAGGCGGUAUCUAGACAAGAUCAGUAUUAUUUGUCGACGAUAAGUCAAAUCAUCCACAAAAACUAGAGGGGAAAAGAAAAUAAAUUUACCAAAUAAAGCCCAUGACACAUGUUGAGACUUCACCUUCAACCCAAGCUUGAAAGGAAAUUAGCUACUCAUAAUUGAACUAGGGGCAAAAUGAAAAUUUAUUAAAAUACGAAGAAAAUACAAGAUGGAGAAGGAAUUACAGAAAAUGGAUCCCAAAAAUGGAUUCAGAGAUAUCAAAUUAGGGGGGGGAGGCCCCUUUUUUAUAGAUACAUGGAGUAAAUCAUGGCCAUCGGAUUAAAAACAGUUUGGACGCUCAGGAUUGCGCCACGUCAUCAGUCAACAGUCCACGGUUUGACCACGCGGAUGAACAGUAACACGGUUUGACCACGCGGAUGAACAGUAACGCGGUUUGGUUGAAAAUAAUCCUGUGUGAUGCAUGCACCGUACGCGAGAUUUUUCGUCCACUGAUAUGCUGCCACGUCACCAUCAACAGUACAUAAGAAUUUUAGUCCAACAGGAUCGUGACACCUCAUCAGUCAAUGCCACAUCAUCGGUCAAUGCCACGUCAUCGAUCCGUCUAUGUGAACAGUGUCGUGAACAGUAACGUAGACAGUACCGUAUACGUGAAUAGUACCGUACAUGUGAAUAGUGCCAUUUUUCUUUUUAUGCCCCUCCUAAGGUUUUCGACCGUCCUGAGUUCAAAAGUGAUGUCCGUUUUGCCAUCUGAUCUCUCCUUUAUUGUGAAAUAACUAUAAUGCCCCUAAAAUACAUAAAAUACUUAAUUAAAAUAAAACACAUGUAAUUAAAUCACAAGAAGGUUAAAUACAUAAAAGUAAGGGUUUUUAAUAAGACUUGAAAUGUAAAAUGACGGUUUUCUCCUUUAUAAAUAUGCAUUUUCUAACACUCAACACACCCCCCAACCAGCUUAUUGCUAGUCCCUAGCAAAUAAAGCGAAAACAAAAUUCAAAUUCAAAAUGAUUUUUUUUUUUUUUUUGAACUACUCGUGUUUAUUCAAUCAGAUUAAUGAUAGCAAUCAAAUAAAAGUAUAAGCAUUAUCUCCAGUCUAAAGCAACAUCACACCCACAUCAACCAUCCACAUGAAUUAGCCCAGUAGACUUUGUUAUAGCUACUUUCAAGAAUGACAUGUCAAACCCCAAAAUCUCACUUGAAGUAGUGACACUCUCACAAAGAAAUUAAAACCCAAUAAACAUAGUCACUCCAAUGAAUGGUAAUUGAGAGAGAAAAUAAUAAAGAAAUGAUAUCACAUGCUCUCACCAAGAUGAAAUAAAUAUGCCCUCAGCUUAGAAAUAAUGCGAUCUCAAGUCAAAUAAAAUGUUAGUCAACCCACUUUAUUUAUCUUUUUUUUUUAUUAUUAUUAUGCAUCACUACAUCUUUUUAGCCCAUAUAACUAGCUUCUACUUCAAACUAUAGUUCCCUAAAAUCAAGAAGGACUUUUAUUAGGACGUAACGUAGGCUAGGGAUAUGGCUAACAAAGAAAGGAAAUAAGGAAAACAAAGUGUAUGUUUGAAAAAAAUGCAGAAUUUUUUUUUUUUUUUUUUUUUUGGAACUUGCAAGGUGGAUUUCACCUAUUAUUGUUAUUUUUAUUCUUUUGAAACAACAACUUUUGUUUUUGUUUUUGUUUUUUUUGUUUUUUUUUUUUGCUUUUAUUUGGCAUAACUUCACUGAACAACAUAAUUAUUUACAUUUUCUCAAACAUAAAUAGGUGAUGGAACUUAAAAGACAUUGGGUAAUACUCCAAAUCGGAGUGGGUCAAGAUGAUAAGUUGACAAAGAAAAGGUUUUUGUUCUUUUUUUUUUUUUUUUUUUUUUUUUUUUUUUUAAGGCUCAAAAGGGGUAACUAUGGAUAUUUAAUAAAAGGGAUGGCUAGAAAGGCUCAAACGGAUCAAAGAUGGCCUUUCUAUCGUCUUUUAGGGCUCUAAAUAAUUAUCCAUAUCUACUAGUUAGAUGGGCCUCCCAAUGUAGCAACACACAUUUUUUUCUUUUUUCUUUUUUUUUUUAAUUUUACCAUAUUUUUUUUUUUUUAAAAGGGUUAACUUAAAAGAAAUCUAGAGAUCGUGUAUAAAAUAAUAAACUGCUAAGCUGUAUAGAGAAUGGGUAAAAGGGUUACUCUCCAAGAAAAUGAUAGGCUCAACUACUCACUUGGCACUUAUUUAUGACAUGUUCAUUCCUUCAAGCAACUCAUAUUUGUCUCCGACAUCAACAUGUAAAGUAGCAAACAUAGCGUAACAUCACUUAAGACCAAAGAUAAUACAAAUACUAAAAUUUGAAAUUAGUCAUGUCAUCCAAUGUUAAAACAAAUAACACAAUUUUUUUUAAACAACAUUCUACCCCCCAACCUAUUCUAAACAUGAAAGGAAAAUAUGCAUGCAGAAAUGUGAAAAUGAUGUAGAAAAAUUAAUUAGAAAAAGAAUUUUUUUUUUUUUUUUUAAACUAAGAAGAUGCGUUUCUAGAGGCACUACACUCCAUAUUCAGCCAUCUUCGACUCAAAAAUUUGAAACUACAUAUUUAUAAAGGAGAAAGAGGAAGAAAACAGGUUUUUUUUUUUUUUUUUUUUAAAACGAUGAAGAUGCGUUUCUAGAGUAACUACACUCCAUAUUCAGCCAUCUUCAACAUAAAAUGUUAGCAACAGUUAGUUUCUACAACAAAAAAUCAGUAAAAACUUAACCAAGAUUCCACAAUUGUCGACUAUUCCCUUCCCCCAACUAGAACGAAACAUUGUCCUCAAUGUUUUAAAGGAAAGAAGUAGAGUUUAGAAGACAUCACCUGGGUGGUGCAACACAGAAGAAAAUAUUUACAAGCGGAGAGUUAAAUCUAAUUUGUACUUCUUACUGCGGCUACUGUUACCAUCAUUAUUUGGUCGCUCCAACACAAAGGUCCAGGGGUCUGGCUCCGGUUUAUAAGCUUGUAACAUAUCAAGUAGCUCAUUAGCAGUGUGAGCACAAAUAAAGAGUUUUUUCACAUUAGAAGGAAUGAAAUAGUUUUUUAUUGCAUGGUUAAGAAAUGCGAUAAAGUCAUCAUAAAAGUUAUUGACAUUUAACAAACCGAUAGGUUUCUGGUGGAUGUGCAGAUGGGCCCAAGAUGCUAGUGUCAUAAGUGCCUCUAGUGUUGCAAGAUCUCCUGGAAGGAAAAUAAAAGCAUCAGCAUGAUUAAGCAUUUCAGUUAUUCUUUCUUGCAUACCUGAGACGACUAACUCUUCUCCAGUUGAUGAGUCAGACGAACUGCCCAAUGGUUUUAGGACUCUUGGGAUGAUGCCUAACACUUGACUUCCUCUGAUAAAAGCUGCUUCUGAGACCAUUUUUGAUAACCCUCGGUUACCUCCUCCAUACACCAAAUGUAAUUUUCUCGCUGCUAUGCUUCGACCAAGAUCUAUGGCUGCCUCAACGAACUCUUUAUGUUUGCCAUAGGUAAAUCCAGAAAGCACACAAAUGUUCUUGAAUUGUCUAUUGGGAGUAGCGGCCAUUGUGAUACUUCUCAAAAAUAAUUUGUGAGUGCUUGACAAAAAAUAGAUCACAUUUAAGAAUCUUGGUGACAGUGGAUCACAGCUGUGAAUGAGGUAACAUGUCAGUGUGAAAUAACGCGUGAAGCACAUGGCUUGCGAGUCAAAAAGGAAACAGUAAAAAGGAAAAAGCAAACAGUAAUAAAAUUAUUAAAGACAAUAAUGCAAACAAUAAAACAACAGUGAAAUGAAAUAAAAUAACAGUAAAGUAAAAUGAUAUUUACACGUAGUUGCGACUGUGGCUCACAUCUUCCUCUGGUUUUACGUCCAGAAACGGCUUGAACGCCCUCUAUGGGUCGAGGAUGGGCUUCCCAUCCAGUUUUCUUAUAAACUGGCAAACAGGGUCGUUUAUAGUCAGAUUCCCGAGACUAUAUCGUGCAUGCUCUUUCUGGAAUAAUGGCCAUAACCGGAGAAUCGCUCCUUGCACAUAUCCACUGGGAUGCGUUUCAAGAGACAAAAGGAUAUCAUCCAAUGACUCCUUAUUCAAGCCAUCCCUAAUGAAUUGAAUCUUAUCUUCCCUGUUAUCAGACACCAUUCCUAAAGAACAUGGGUUUCUAUCGCAACUCAUUCUGGCACACUUAUGACAAGCAACAGAAAUUCUUCGAGCUCGUCGUUUUCUUGCAUAAUUGCCUUUACCACAACCAGGCAUGUAUGCAAUAAAUUUAUGAGGUAACUCACCUGCCAAUCGUACUUUAGCCUCGAUUAACCAACGGAUGUCUGCAGGUAUGUUAUUCCUCAUGAGCAAUCGCAUGCGUUCAGACCGGGCUUUAUAGAUUGUAAGGAGGGCAUUCUGAGGAAGUGAAGGGAAUCGCUUGUGAAGCUUUGCUAAAAUCUCGUUUCUAUCCAUACCUUCGCCUCAGAAUAUCAGUUAUUAUGGGAAACUGAAGUUAACCGACUUGAUUGUCACGGAGUACCGUUAUCCGCCACUUCACCGGGGUAACAAACUAAAGCACACAAACAGAAAAACAAAUUAAAACACACAAAGAAAAUUAAAAUCGUCCUCUUAUUGAAUUUACCUCAAGCUCCAACUGGAUGUCGUAAACACUUCUCUCAAUGUCUCUGAGUUGGCGUUCUAAACCCUCAACAUAGGCUACUAACUCUGGUGGUUGUAGAGCCCAAAUGCGUUGUGUUUUACAAAAUAGAAUCUGCCUUUUGAGAUGAGUUUUGACACGUUGAAGUGGUUUAAGAAUGUUCAGGAGGAACGGUCUAAGUAUGAGACUCAUGAUUAAAAAUGAUAAGAGAAAACUUAAUUGUUAAACAAACACACUUAUGCAAAAAUAAUUUCAAUUAGCAAAAGAAUAAUAAAAAGAAAGAAAGAAAAAUCAAAUCAAUAAAAAGAGAAAAAAAAAAUUAAUUCAAAUCUGGUGGGUCACUCAAAUUUAUUUCGGUGUCUUCUUCAUGUGGUUGGUACUCUAGAUAUGGCUUUAAUCUUUGACCAUUAACUUUAAACGUGACACCGUUCUUUGGGUCUUUAAUUUCAAUUGCCCCAUGUGGAAAAACAGUAUGAACAAUAAAGGGACCAGACCAUCGAGAGCGUAACUUACCUGGGAAUAGGUGCAAGCGAGAAUUGAAUAAAAGCACUUUCUGACCUGGAGUGAACGAUUUUCUCAUAAUUUGCUUAUCAUGGAAGACUUUCAUUCGUUGCUUGUAAAUCUUGGCAUUUUCGUAUGCAUCAUUGCGAAUUUCUUCAAGUUCUGCCAGCUGUAAUCUUCUUUCUGAGCUGGCUUGCUGCAUGUCAAAGUUGAAUUUCUUGAUGGCCCAAUAUGCACGAUGCUCGAGUUCCACAGGUAGGUGGCAAGCUUUUCCAUACACUAGCCUGUAGGGUGACAUCCCAAUCGGGGUCUUGAAAGCCGUUCUAUAUGCCCAUAAUGCAUCAUCAAGUCGUAAUGACCAAUCUUUUCUGUCUGGCCUCACCGUUUUUUCUAAUAUGUGCUUGAUUUCUCGAUUGGAGAUCUCAACUUGGCCACUGGUUUGCGGAUGAUACGGGGUCGCCACUUUGUGUGUGAUUGAAUACUUUGUCAAAAGAGCUUUGAAUGUUUUGUUACAAAAGUGGGCACCACCAUCACUGAUUAUCGCUCGAGGGAAUCCAAAGCGUGAAACAAUGUUGCUUUUCAAAAAUCCUAUCACCACUUUGUGAUCAUUGGUUCUGCAUGGAAUUGCUUCCACCCAUUUCGAUACGUAGUCAACACCAACCAAUAUGUAUUGAUGGCCAAAAGAAGGGGGAAAGGGUCCCAUGAAGUCGAUACCCCAUACGUCAAAAAUCUCAACCACUAAAAUUGGAUUUAGUGGCAUCAUGUUCCUUCGUGUAAUGCUCCCCAUUCGUUGACACCUAUCACAUGAAGAACAGAAAGUGUAAGCGUCUCGAAAUAUAGUUGGCCAAUAGAAACCACAUUGUAAAACUUUUGUAGCUGUUUUCUUAGCACUAAAAUGGCCUCCACACGCUUGUUCAUGGCAGAAUGAAAGGAUAUUUUGAAUUUCACUUUCUGGGACACAUCGCCUAACAAUUUGAUCUGCACAAUACUUGAACAAAUACGGGUCAUCCCAAAAGAAAUUCUUUAUUUCCGCAAAGAAUUUAGCCUUGUCUUGCUUGGUCCAAUGCUCUGGAAGUUUACCUGUAACAAGAUAAUUAACUAUAUCAGCAUACCAAGGUAAUACUUCCACAUUCAUUAAUUGUUCAUCUGGAAAUGACUCAUUCAAUAUUAAUGGAUCUGUAAUUGUGUCAAAAUGGAGACGAGAGAGGUGGUCCGCCACAACAUUUUCUGUGCCUUUCUUAUCCUUGAAUUCCAAGUCGAAUUCCUGCAAAAGUAACACCCAACGAAUUAGUCUAGCUUUUGCAUCUUUCUUUGUGAGAAGAUAUUUAAGAGCAGCAUGAUCUGUGAAUAUAAUUAUUUUACAACCAAUGAGAUAAGAUCGAAAUUUCUCUAAUGCAAACACUACUGCUAGCAUUUCUUUUUCAGUAGUUGAAUAAUUCAACUGUGCAUCAUUCAAUGUCAUACUAGCAUAGUAAAUAACGUGGGGAAUUCGAUCAACUCUUUGUCCUAAUACUGCUCCUACUGUAUAAUCAGAUGCAUCACACAUGAGCUCAAAUGGUAAGUUCCAGUUUGGGGCCUGAAUGAUGGGUGAUGAUGUCAACAACUGCUUUAAUUUUUCAAACGCCAUGAGACAUGAAUCAUUAAAGAUAAAAGGUACAUCCUUAGCAAGUAAAUUGCAUAAGGGUCUAGAAACUUUGCUAAAAUCUUUAAUGAAACGUCUAUAAAAACCAGCAUGUCCAAGGAAAGAUCUUACUUCUCUGACUGUUUUAGGUGGAGGAAGAUUAGAAAUGAGAUCCACCUUGGCUUUGUCAACCUCAAUACCUUUGCUCGAAAUGAUGUGACCGAGAACAAUACCUUGUUUUACCAUAAAAUGGCACUUCUCCCAAUUCAAGACUAAGUUCUUCUCGGUACAUCUCUGCAGAACUAGCGUUAGAUGAUGUAAACAUUGAUCAAACGAGUCACCAAAGAUAGAAAAAUCAUCCAUAAAGACUUCAAGGAAUCGUUCAACCAUAUCAGAAAAAAUGCUCAACAUGCAUCGUUGGAAUGUAGCAGGUGCAUUACAUAAUCCAAAUGGCAUUCUCCUAUAUGCAAAAGUGCCAAAAGGGCAAGUGAAAGUAGUUUUCUCCUGAUCUUUUGGUGCUAUGGGAAUCUGAUUAUAUCCUGAGUAGCCAUCUAGAAAGCAAUAAAAUUCAUGGCCUGCUAAUCUAUCAAGCAUUUGAUCAAUAAAUGGUAAAGGAAAAUGGUCUUUACGUGUGACAGAAUUCAACUUUCUAUAAUCAAUGCAUACACGCCAUCCUGUAGUUACUCUAGUUGGUAUCAAUUCAUUAUCAGCAUUGGUAACUACUGUGACUCCUGACUUUUUGGGGACGACUUGUACAGGACUGACCCAUGAACUAUCAGAAAUUGGGUAAAUGAUACCUGCAUCUAAUAGCUUAAGGACUUCAGUUCUAACAACUUCUUUCAUGUUAGGAUUUAACCGACGUUGCAUCUCCCUAGUAGUUUUAGCAUUUUCAUCAAGGUGAAUGUAAUGCAUGCAGUCUACUGGAUUUAUACCUUUUAUGUCUGCUAUGGUCCAUCCUAAUGCCCCUUUGUGCUCUUUUAACACAUCCAACAACUUACCUUUUUGUUCGUCAUUUAGGGAUGAUGAGAUGAUUACCGGUAGAGUGCUUUCUUCUCCCAAAAACGCAUAUUCCAAUGUGUUGGGCAAUUGUUUGAGCUCGAGUUUUGGUGGUGAUUCUGAUGAUGGGAUGAGUUUCUUUUCUGACGGUGCUAGUUGUUCUACUCUUGACUUCCAUUUAUUAGUGUCCAUGGAUGGUGCUGAGUCAAGUAGGGCGUUGACCUCUUCGACCGAUCUAUCAAUAUCAAAAUCCAAACCAAAGUGAGUUAAGCAUGUUUGUAAAGGAUCAUCACUAAGGUUUGAAAGAAAAGUAUUAUCAACUAUUGUUUCUAUUAAAUCCACAUCAACAAUUCCAUCAUCUGCACUGUGAGGUUGUUUGGCAAUGUUAAAGAUGUUUAGCUCCAUAGUCAUGUUGCCGAAGGACAAUUGCAUAUUUCCGGUCCUACAUUGAAUAUGAGCAUCUGCAGUUGCCAAGAAAGGUCGGCCUAGAAUAAUGGGGAUGUGCUUCCUUGAGUCCUGUAUUGGUUGAGUGUCAAUUACAAUGAAAUCAACAGGAAAAUAAAACUUGUCUACCUGGAUAAGCACGUCCUCCACAAUACCACGAGGUAUUUUUGUGGACCGAUCUGCAAGUUGUAACACCACUGGAGUUGGGUGUAAUUCUCCCAGUCCAAGUUUCACGAAUACAGAGUAAGGUAACAAAUUUACACUAGCUCCUAAAUCCAACAAAGCAUUCUCAAUUGUGUGGUUCCCUAUACUACAUGAGAUAGUGGGGGAGCCUGGGUCUUUGCAUUUUAAAGGAAUUUUAUGUUGGAGUAUAGAACUAACGUUUUCUGUUAAAAAUGCCUUCUUUUGAACAUGCAUAUUUCUCUUUUUAGUACAAAGGUCUUUAAGAAACUUGGCAUAAGAUGGAAUUUGUUUUAUAGCAUCAAGCAAAGGGAUAUUGACACUUACCUGUUUGAAGAUUUCGAGAAUCUCACCUGUGGAUUUUCCCUUCUUGCCUUUAGCUAACCUCUGAGGAAAUGGAGCUUUCGGAAUAUAUUCUCGUGGGUUGGUUUCUUCUCUCUCCUCCGGUGGUGAGUCCUCAGCAUUUACAGGUACAAUUUGAUUUUCUUUUGUCACCUGCAUCUCCACUUUAUUGUCGACUUCUUUUCUUUUUCUCAAGGUCAUUACUGCUUUGACCUCUCCAUGCUGCUGUGGUGAACUGGUACUUGCUUCAUGCACUCCUUUAGGAUUAGGCACUGGUUGACUCGGAAACUUGCCUUUCUCAACAGUCAUUGCCAAGGUCUGAACUGAAGAAGCAAGCUGUCCCACCAUCUUCUCGAGGCUUGAAACUGAUUGGGCUUGUGAAUUGAAGCCCGCUCUCAACUCAUUUCGUAGUCCAUCAAUGGUGCGAUUCUGUUGCUCAAUCGUGGAGUGAGUAACAUUCUUGAAAUUCUGGAAUGCAUCCUCCCAUGGUCUGGGUUGAGAGUAGUUCUGGUUUUGAUUGUAUGGUCUAAAUGGUGGCUGAGAGGCUUGAGGAUUUUGAGGAAUUGGUUGCAUUGGUGGAGCUGGAGCUGCUGGUCCAUUCUGUUGAAAUCCUUGAGACCAUGAAAAAUUGGGGUGGUCUCUCCAUCCAGGAUUAUAUGUGUUGGAGUAUGGGUUGUAAUUAGAUGGCUUUCUCAUUACACCUAUGGCAUUGGCUUGAUCGGAGUAUGAGUCAUGGUCAUGUGGUUCUGUUGAUUUAGCAGUCGAUAACGAUGCUAUUUGUCGAGCAAGACCUUCAACCAUCUCCUUGACUUCUUUGAUUCCCGAAGUUGACUCGCCAAUGUGAACCUCAUUCACUCCUUUAAUCCUUCUAGUAUUCCUGAGUGAUCGACUCCGUUGUUGGGAAUUAUCCGCUUGUCGCUGGAAGAAUUCCCAAAUCUCUGUUGCGCUUUUUGACAUUAGCUCUCCUCCACUUGUUGCCAUUAGCCAUUCUUGCACAUUCGGCAAUAAUCCCUCCAAAAAGUAUUGGCAUUGGUGCCAUUUUUCGUACCCAUGAUGUGGACACUUCAAGAGUAGUCCAUUGAAUCGCUCCCAAGUUUCGAAAAACUGCUCGUCCUCUCUUUGUGUAAACUCUGAAAUUUCCCUGCGAAUAGAAUUGGUUUUAUGCACUGGGAAAUAUUUAUUUAGAAAUUUUGUUACCAUUUGUUCCCAUGAUGAAAUGCUAUUGGCAGGCAAUGUAUUAAGCCAUGAACGAGCUCUAUCCUUUAAAGAAAAUGGGAAUAGUCUAAGUUUUACAUCAUCAUCUGAAAAAUUUUCAUAUUUAAAAGUUUGACAAAUAGCAUGAAAAUCAUUCAAAUGAUUAUAUGGGUCCUCAUUUUCUAGGCCAUAAAAUGUGGGGAGACAAUUUAGCACACUAGGUUUUAAUUCAAAACUCCUAGCAGCUACAUUUGGGUAUCUUAUGCAUGAUGUGCUCAAAUUAGCUAAGGGACUAAAAUAGUCCUUAAAUGGCCUCUCCUGUGGUGCUUGUAAAUCCAUUUUAUUUUUAACGUGUUUGUGUGUGCGAAGUGUUUUUUCUAAUUCAAGGUCUAUAGGUUCAAUAUUAGGUAAUAAUGACCUACGACCAUGCAUGCAAAAUAAAUAAAAUAAAAAUAAAGAUGCAAACAAAACAAAAAAUAAAGAUGGGAACAAAACAAAUAAAAAAUAAAGAUGAGAACAAAACAAAUAAAAAUAAAGAAGAGGGAGAAAUUACGAUACUAACCUCAUUGCGCUAUUACAACCUUACUAUAAAAAUACACAAAAAUAAAUACGUGAAAUAAAUUAACUAAAAAUUAAAUUAAUAAGAUAAACAAAAAUUACAAAGAAAAAAUAAAUUGAAAAUUAAAUUACAGAAUUUUAAAGAAGAGAAAAAGAAAAGAAAUACUAACCUUUAAAUGUAGAUUUACUCUUUUUUUUUAAAGAACAAAAAAAAAAAAAAAAUACAAGAAAACAAUUUAAAAUAAAUUAUUCACAAAAAUUAAUUCUAUGAAUUAAAACUACUUACCUCCCCGGCAACGGCGCCAAAAACUUGUUGUGCAAAUUUUAAUGUACUCGCAAGCGCACGAAUCUAUUGUAGUAUAGAUCAAUGGUGACGAGUGUCGAUCCCACGAGGAGGUGGAUUUUAAUUGUGUAUAGAAUUAAUUUUGUAAAUGGGUGGUUGGAUCUGUGGUGGAAAUGAAUUGGAAUAUGCUAAAACUUAAAUUAAAAUGGCGAGAAUAAAUUCUAAAAUUGGAAUUGCAAUGGCGAGAAUAAAUUGAAGAGAAAUGUAUUGAAAUGACGUACUUGGGUAUCUGGAUCCGUAUCAACAUGCAUCAUGGGCUAAAUAAUCCGUAUUAAUGCCAAUUAAAUCAUGAGGGGGGAAUCCACACCUCAUGAACCACGCUCUAAUCAAUAUGGUGCUAAGGGCUUAUCGUGCCAAAUAAUAAUAACCUUAUACUAGAGAGCCGGUGUAACCAAGGCGGUAUCUAGACAAGAUCAGUAUUAUUUGUCGACGAUAAGUCAAAUCAUCCACAAAAACUAGAGGGGAAAAGAAAAUAAAUUUACCAAAUAAAGCCCAUGACACAUGUUGAGACUUCACCUUCAACCCAAGCUUGAAAGGAAAUUAGCUACUCAUAAUUGAACUAGGGGCAAAAUGAAAAUUUAUUAAAAUACGAAGAAAAUACAAGAUGGAGAAGGAAUUACAGAAAAUGGAUCCCAAAAAUGGAUUCAGAGAUAUCAAAUUAGGGGGGGGAGGCCCCUUUUUUAUAGAUACAUGGAGUAAAUCAUGGCCAUCGGAUUAAAAACAGUUUGGACGCUCAGGAUUGCGCCACGUCAUCAGUCAACAGUCCACGGUUUGACCACGCGGAUGAACAGUAACACGGUUUGACCACGCGGAUGAACAGUAACGCGGUUUGGUUGAAAAUAAUCCUGUGUGAUGCAUGCACCGUACGCGAGAUUUUUCGUCCACUGAUAUGCUGCCACGUCACCAUCAACAGUACAUAAGAAUUUUAGUCCAACAGGAUCGUGACACCUCAUCAGUCAAUGCCACAUCAUCGGUCAAUGCCACGUCAUCGAUCCGUCUAUGUGAACAGUGUCGUGAACAGUAACGUAGACAGUACCGUAUACGUGAAUAGUACCGUACAUGUGAAUAGUGCCAUUUUUCUUUUUAUGCCCCUCCUAAGGUUUUCGACCGUCCUGAGUUCAAAAGUGAUGUCCGUUUUGCCAUCUGAUCUCUCCUUUAUUGUGAAAUAACUAUAAUGCCCCUAAAAUACAUAAAAUACUUAAUUAAAAUAAAACACAUGUAAUUAAAUCACAAGAAGGUUAAAUACAUAAAAGUAAGGGUUGUUAAUAAGACUUGAAAUGUAAAAUGACGGUUUUCUCCUUUAUAAAUAUGCAUUUUCUAACACUCAACACUAGUGAGGUUCCAUUUAGGUGUAUUGGGGUUGUGGGUUUUGUGAGUUUUUUCCACUUUUGUAAAUUCUCAUUAUUAGUAAAAUUAUCUUCCAAUCUUUGCCCGUGGACGUAGGCAUUAUGCCGAACCACGUAAAUUAUUGUGUUUAUAUUUUCUUUGUAUUUGUUUGGCACAUUUAUAUUUCUCCAAAAGUUACAUUCAUCGUAAUAUUGGUAAUUGCUCAACCUCGCACUUCCGCAACAAUUGGUAUCAGAGCAGAAGGUUCGUGCUUGGGGCAUACAACAUUGUUCACGUAUACGGAACUGUUCACAAAUACGGUAUUGUUCACGUAUACGGUAUUGUUCAUUGAUAUGGUGGAGAUGGUCAUUUAUACUUGGGAGACAGUCUAUUGAAAGUAGUGUGUAUUUUUUCAUGUCUAGGAAAGUCCUGUCAACAAGGCGAUAAAAGCUUAAGGAGUCUGGUUUUAAGUGGGACCGUUGUGACCCCUCCAUUCUCCUAGGAACUUUCCUGGUGCAUUUAUUCAUGCGAAAUAAAUAUCAUAGAGGCUAUUUUUCAAGUGUAAAUAGUUGUUGAAGAAACUGAUCAUUUGAGAUAAAAAUGAUGGCAGAGGCAUCGUCGUCGUCGUCGUCUUCAUCAGCAAGGACUACUGUGACUAAUGCAAAGUUUGAAGUGGAGAAAUUCAAUGAUACCAAUAAUUUUGGUAUGUGGCAAUGUGAGGUGUUGGAUGUCUUAUGUCAGUAAGAGUUGGACGUUACUCUUAAAGAAAAGCCUGACAUAAUGGAUGACAAGGAGUGGAUAAAGAUCAAUAAACAGGUAUGUGGUACUAUUCGCCUAUGUUUGGCUAAAGAUCAUAAAUACUUUGUUAUAAAGGAGACAUCGGCAAAGAAAUUGUAGGAGACAUUGGAAGAAAAAUAUAUGAAGAAAAGUAUAUAAAGAAAAGCCUUAAAAAUAAGCUUUAUAUGAAGAAGAAACUUUAUCUAUUCACAUAUACACCUGGCAUGUCGAUGAAUGACCAUGUAAAUUCAUUCAACAAAAUAUUGGCAGAUUCACUAAAUUUGGAUGAGAAAUUUGAAGAUGAAGAUAAGACACUGUUGUUUUUUAAUUCCCUUCCUGAUGAAUAUGAUCAUCUCACUACCAAUUUGCUUCAUGGGAAGGGCAGUGUCACAUUCGAUGUUGUAUGCAGUGCAUUGUAUAACUCUAAGAUCAGAAAGAAAGAUAGAAAAGAUCACAGAGAUACAGUUGUAGAAGCAUUAACAACUAAAAGUCGUUCACAAGGCUGUAAACUUGGAAAAAGAAGCAAGUCUAAAGGGAGACCUGCCAAAGAUGAGUGUGUUUUUUGUCGCGAGAAAGGACAUUGGAAAAAGAAUUAUCCUAAGUUACAAAAGGAUAAGGCUUCUUCUUAUGCAUGUGUAGCAGAGUAUGAUGAGGAGUCAGACUUUAGUCUGGUUGGCAUGACGUUGACAUGUUACUUAGAUGAGUGGUUUUUGUAUUCGAGUUGUGCUUAUCAUAUGUGUCCUAACAAGGGUUGGUUUUCUAACUUCAAGGAGCUGGACGGUGGAAUUGUUUUUAUGGGCAAUGACAAUGCCUGUAAAACCUUGGAAAUAGGUACAAUUCAAUUAAAAAAUCGUGACGGUUCAAUCAAAGUCUUGACGGAUGUUCACUACAUACCAAGUUUAAAGAAAAAUCUCAUCUCAUUAGGAGUCCUAGAAUCUAAAGGGCUCACAAUCACUCUGAGAGAUAGAUUAUUAAAGGUAGUAGCUGGCACACUAACGGUGAUGAAAGACACAAGAAGAAAUAACUUGUACUAUUUUCAAUGGAAUACAAUUAUUAGAUCAGCAUCAACAGUUUUUGGAAGAGAUGCAGAUUCAGAAGCAACCAAGUUGUGGCAUAUGCGUUUGGGACAUGCUGGUGAAAAAUCUUUACAGACUCUAGUGAAGCAAGGCUUAUUGAAAGGUGCAAAUUCUUACAAAUUAGAAUUUUGUGAACAUUGUGUUUUAGGCAAGCAGACAAUGGUAAUGUUUAGUUCAAUAAUUCACGAUACAAACUUCCUCGGGGGAGCAUUAAAACCUUCGAGCAGAUGUGCCAGGAAUUUGCAGAGCAGUUUCGUGGGGCAAUGGCACCAGAAGAUGCCAUGAUGGAAUUGAAAAACAUGAAGCAGGGGGAAUAAUAAACACUUCGGGAAUUCAUCAAGAGGUUUUACCAUGUUGUCCUUGAUUUGGGAGCCUUCAACCAUCCUCAGGCAUUAAGGGGACUGAAAGAAUGGGUGAAGAUAGGAAGACUGUGGUACAACUUGAGAAGCCCAGUUAUUCAGACGUACGCCGCCGCAUACAAGCAGGCUAAGAGGGACAUUGAGAUUGAAGUGGAAAAGGCAGCACGGAUCAAGACAGACCAGUUAGAUGGGUUGGGGAAGAAAGAGAAGAAAGCAUUGCCAGGGAACGGGCCGAUCAGGAGGAGAGACCUUCAGGCCUCAAGUAGUGGAGCAGGAGAUCGGGUAACUACUGGCCAUCCUCAUCAGAGGCCACCACAGUAUCGGCGCAGCAGGGCGCAACCUCCUCGUUCCCCAGCUAGGGAGCCUUGGAGAAGCCAUGACUCGGCAUAUGGUGGUCUUCAUCAACACUCCCACGGUAGUAGGGGGCAGACCAGAAGUGCUGCCACCGCCUCCAACUCAGAACGGAGCAAAUAGAGAAAAAGCAGUGCACCUGAUCGACCAGAACCAGGACUAUGGGCAGUACACUUCCUUAAAGAUGUUCCUGGACGAGGUGUACGAGGCCAUAAAGGAUCGAGGGUUGCUAUACCUCCCUGCCUCAAUAACAAAACUACCCAGCAGGAGGGAUAAGGGACGCUAUUGUAAGUUCUAUGGCGCGCAUGGCCGUACUACAACAGAAUGUAGAGAUCUAAAGACCCAGGUCGAAGAUUUGGUGAGAAAUCGAUACCUGGACGAGUUUAUAGAGGGGACUUUCCCGAUGGUGGCCUCGACAUGCGAGGGGGAGCAGAGUGGCAGAAAUUUGAGGCACGAGUAGCCUACAGUAAGGGUGAUUGCUGGGGGCCCGACAUUGGCUGGAGAUUCCAACAGAUCUAGGAAGAACUAUGCUAGAUACGCCAUGACUAGUAAAGAGGUAUUCUUCAACACCCCGGCAGCCAAACGAGCAAGAGUCAGGCAAGUGCCAAUCAUGUGGACAGACGAGGAUGAAAAAGGGAUUUUAUACCCACACGAGGAUGCCUUAGUCAUCAAGGCCACUGUUGCUAGCAGGAAGUUUGACCGGAUACUAGUCGAUAUAGGAAGCUCGGUUGAUGUGUUGUUCAAGUCCACUCUAGAGGAGAUGAGAAUAGCAGACCUGAGGUUGGAGCACACCAACACCUCCUUGAAGGGAUUUGGAGGAGGAAAGCUGGUCCCCCUGGGUGUGGUCGAGCUGCCUAUCACAAUCGGAAGCUCCCCGACAGAAAGGACUAUGAUACUAGAUUUUGUGGUGGUUGAUGAAGAGGGUCCUUACCAGAUAAUCCUAGGUCGGCUGUUUCUGAGGAUGAGUAAAGCAGUACUGUCCAACCAUUAUCUUGCUCUCAAGUACCGGGUGAAUGGGGUAGUUGGAGUGGUACGAGGAGACCAGAGAAUCGCACGAAGCUGUUACUCCUCGGCAGCAAAGGAAUCGAUACAGAUAACAUCCCUUGAUACCCGAGUGAAAGCCAGGAAUGGCAACUUAUUGGACUCGGAGUUUACAAGCUGGUUCGCAAGGACGGCCACGAGGUGAAAUGCCCAUGGAACGCAGCACACCUCCGAAAAUACUUCCAGUAAGACUUGUUCACAUUUGAAAGCUAUUUCUGCUCGUGUUCAUUAUCGUUUAUCUUUUAUGUUUUAUAUCCAAACAAUUUCAUGUAAGUCGAAUCCUGCCAUUAAUGGAACGUCGAGGAAUUUCAUUCGCUUGAAACUGUGAAAAUUUCCUAAGGCAUGCAAAGGCUCGUCAAGUCUCAAAGCCUGUUUAUGGCGAGACCAGAAGCCAAGCGUGCCAGGAUCUGCUCGGCCACGAGAAGGCGAGCAGAAUCCCAAGCUUUGAAGAAAUUACCUAAGGCAUGCAAAGGCUCGACAAAGUCUCAAAGCCUGUUUAUGGCGAGACCAGAAGCCAAGCGUGCCAGGAUGUGCUCGGCCACGAGAAGGCGAGCAGAAUCCCAAGCGUUGAAGAAAUUACCUAAGGCAUGCAAAGGCUCGUCAAGUCUCAAAGCCUGUUUAUGGCGAGACCAGAAGCCAAGCGUGCCAGGAUCUGUUCGGCCACGAGAAGGCGAGCAGAAUCCCAAGCGUUGAAGAAAUUACCUAAGGCAUGCAAAGGCUCGUCAAGUCUCAAAGCCUGUUUAUGGCGAGACCAGAAGCCAAGCGUGCCAGGAUCUGUUCGGCCACGAGAAGGCGAGCAGAAUCCCAAGCUUUGAAGAAAUUGCCUAAGGCAUGCAAAGGCUCGACAAAGUCUCAAAGCCUGUUUAUGGUGAGACCAGAAGCCAAGCGUGCCAGGAUCUGCUCGGCCACGAGAAGGCGAGCAGAAUCCCAAGCUUUGAAGAAAUUAUCUAAGGCAUGCAAAGGCUCGACAAAGUCUCAAAGCCUGUUUAUGGCGAGACCAGAAGCCAAGCGUGCCAGGAUCUGCUCGGCCACGAGAAGGCGAGCCGAAUCCCAAGCUUUGAAGAAAUUGCCUAAGGCAUGCAAAGGCUCGACAAAGUCUCAAAGCCUGUUUAUGGCGAGACCAGAAGCCAAGCGUGCUAGGAUGUGCUCGGCCACGAGAAGGCGAGCAGAAUCCCAAGCUUUGAAGAAAUUACCUUAGGCAUGCAAGGGCUCGACCAAGUCUCAAAGCCUGUUUAUGGCGAGAUCAGAAGCCAAGCGUGUCAGGAUCUGCUCGACCACGAGAAGGAGAACAGAAUCCCAAUCAUUGCAGAGAUUACCUAAGGCAUGCAAAGGCUCAUCAAGUCUCAAAGCCUGUUUUAUGGCGAGACAGAAGCCAAGCGUGCCAGGAUCUGCUCAACCACGAAAAGGUGAGCAGAAUCCCAAUCCUUGAAGAAUUGAAGGCAUGCAAAGGCUCGUCAAGUCUCAAAACCUGUUUAUGGCGAGACCAGAAGCCAAGCGUGCCAGGAUCUACUCGACCACGAGAAGGCGAGCAGACUCCAAAGCAUUCGAAAAAAUUCCUAAGGCAUGCAAAGACUCACCAAGUCUCAAAGCCUGUUUUAUGGCGAGACAGAAGCCAAGCGUGCCAGGAUGUGCUCGACCACGAGAAGGCGAGCAGACUCCGAAGCAUUCGAAAAAAAUUCCUAAGGCAUGCAAAGGCUCACCAAGUCUUAAAGCCUAUUUUAUGGCGAGACAGAAGCCAAGCGUGCCAGGAUCUGCUCAACCACGAGAAGGCGAGCAGACUCCGAAGCAUUCGAAAAAAUUCCUAAGGCAUGCAAAGGCUCACCAAGUCUCAAAGCCUGUUUUAUGGCGAGACAGAAGCCAAGCGUACCAGGAUCUGCUCGACAACUAGAAGGCGAGCAGACUCCGAAGCAUUUGAAAAAAUUCCUAAGGCAUGCAAAGGCUCACCAAGUCUCAAAGCCUGUUUUAUGGCGAGACUAGGAGCCAAGCAUGCUAGGGUCUGCUCGACCACGCGAAGGCGAGCAGAAUCCCAAGCAUUGAAGAAUUUUCAAAGGCAUGUGGCAAAACCAUGUGCCAAGCCAGAACCUGCUCGACCAGACAAAGACGAGCCGAUUCUCAAACGAAAAAUAACUCAUGAUUACGACACAAGAAAGUAAUCAAAAAUAUUUUUAUUAAUUUGUUAAUAAUUAACAGAGGAGAUAAUCUUCACAAACAUUGUUCAUUACAAUACAAGAAACAUAUUUAAGAAGAUGGUGGGUCCGCAAGCCGAGCAUCCUCAGUUAGAUGGUCCACCUCAGGUGCUGGGGGAGUAUCUCCAGUUGCGUCUGGGGGGGUACUCGCCUCACCAGCAUCAGCAGGGAUUACACGGGGAGGAGAGUUUUCCUCUUCUAUCACCAUUGGUGCCACCUCUUCGGCAUCCUCCUUUGCAGCCUCCUCGUCCAUAUGUUGGGCGACACCAGCUGCAAGGUCGUCCAUCUUUAGAUCAGGAUGCUGCUUCCCGAGGACGGCCAUGAUGCAACGAUAAGAAUGCCGAAGUCCCUGGUCGUACUGGUUGUCGGCCUCCUUCUCCAAGUUCUCGACCUGACCUCGGUGGGAAUCGCGGAGGGAUUCGAGCUGAGCCUCAUACAUAGCCUUCUGCCUUUGAAGAUCCUCCUUGACCUUGGCCAGCUCUUCCUCGAGAGUAAUAGCCUUGGCUUGAGCAAGAGAUUCUCGCUCAAUCAACUUCAGAUUCUCGAGGUUUAAGUCCCCUGCUUUCUUCUCAGCAACAUCAGCUCUGGUCGUCGCCGACUGAAUGUCCUCCUUCAUCUUCCUAUCAUAACGGCCAACCUUGGCCUUAUAGUAGGUGGUCAUGCAGCUGAGAUGGAAAGCGCUAUACUGCAUGGCCCCCACCAGCUCGCCUAAGGUGUAGCCAUCAAAGUCCUCGAGGUCCUUCUUGCUCACGAUUUUGGAAAGCUCGUUGAGAUAGGGGGCCAAGUGUUCUGCUCGGCUGUCAGGUAAACGAGAUCUAUGCCCGACAAGAGGCGAAGAGGAAGCAGGAUCAGUGGCUGCUCCACUGGUCUCGUCGAGUUUGGCAGAAAGAAGAGGUAAAGUCUUCAAGGGAGAGACCUGCUGCACGAUGUUGGCCCGCUUUGCAGUAGGGGCAUCCUUGUUCUGGUCCCUCUUCGUGGUUUGGGGUCGAGAACGUUUCCUGUUUAGAGCCCCAAUCACGGCGUCCUCCAUCUUAUGACCAGGGAGUAUCAAGCGAGACUCGAGCAAGUUGUAUGUAGUUAUCAGCUCCCGGCUCGAGCAGGAAUUGGCUAGCACAGCCUCGACCCGUUUGAGCUGGCCAGGUUUGAGCGAGAAAUGAACACCCCAAGAAACUACAACACAAACAGACACUUGGUUAGAGACAAACCAACAAAGCGAGAACAAUUACGGAUACAAGACAUCUAAAGCGAACAGGCAACCUGGGACCGUGAAACGGGGUGGAACGCGAUAAUCCUUCCCGUCUAUUUGUGCAACUUGACCCCAAGGACCCCCAGCAAAAAAGAAUUUCCUCUUCUAAUUCCCACCACCACCAGUAGGGAGGUCGGUUAUGGGUUUCCUGGUCUUGGUACUAGAUUGAAAGUAGUACCAGCCGGCAUCUUUGGGGCUGCUCUUUAGCUGGUACAGGUGCUUCACCUCAUCAACUGUGGACUCGCUUUGGCAACAUCUGUCCCACAAUAUGAACAGACCAGAAAGUACUCUCCAACCAUUUGGGUUCAGCUGACCAGGAGAUAGAUUCAGCCCGUUAAGUAUCCGGGCAAAGUAAGGUUGCACGGGACACCUCAGCCCAUACUUAAAACUAUCCAGAUACAGGGUAACGUAUCCCCUAGGAGGCCGGCUAGGAGUAUCCUUCUUUCCUGGGACCUUAAGAGGGAUUUCACCAGGAAUACUAUACCUAAGCCGGAGGUCAUUGAGCUCAUCAAACGUGGUUAUGCAUGUCAUGUAAUCAAUAGCGUAAUCCCGCGAUAGGGCUCUACCUCCUAUUGUACUCCGCCCUUCUGGUCGCGACGCUCCUGAUGGGGACACCUCGCCAGAAUCAUCUCCUCGGCCCUCACUCAGGGUGUUCUCCGAGCCAGAAGACCCCUCUUCAUCACUAUCUCUGCUCGAGGAGGUCGUUUACGGAGACAUCCUCCUAGCGCUAGUGCCGACACUAGAUCUAAUGGGCUCUAAGGGGAUCCCGGGGUCAAAAGCAGGAUCAGUGAGCAGACUAGGCAGGAAGUCCAACUCAUCGUCGUCAACCUCAAUGACCUUCUCUUUACCUUUCGACAUUCCCUAAACUCUAACCACAACACCACCACCAACUACUACCCGAACAAAAGAGAACAAAAAUUAUCUACAACUAUCCGAGACCAAGGAGAUAGAAGAAAUACCUGAAGUAAUGGUUCAGUCGGUGAAAGACAGAGAUGGAGGCCUUUAUGCCGGAACUUCUUUGCCGGAGAGACAGGGACGGAGACAGAGGGAAUGAUGAAUUUGCUGUUUGAAAGGAUUUAGGUUUCCUAAUGGGGACGGCCUCUUGGGUUGCCAGCAUUUAACGGCACCAAAUCCCAAGGGCCUCGUAACCGUUGGUUUGAAAUUCGAAUAGAGGGGCAGAUUUCUGCCACAUCACCUCGUCCGCAAUUAAAUGCGAUAUGACUCUUGGCAGCCUUUUCCAGUCCCACGCGACCAAGAACCGCUAAGUUUCUACUGCUGGUCCAUUACAUUACCCAACACCAGAAACUGGGGGACCGGUGUUUGAGGGAAAUACUCUGACGAGACCAGACGUGAUGAGCAGAUGUUUGGUGGUAGAAGUCUGCGAGCAGGUGUGUCCUGUAAGAGCCAGGUAGCAGGGGAACAGGGGCAGGAAUAUCCUGCUCAUCCACGAGCACGUCAUCCGCGAGGCCAAUUUCCUGUAAGAAGCAUAAAGCCAUUCCUGCUGUAUUCUUGCUAAGGGUUGAUUCGAGGAGACCCGGUCAACGACAGUUGGCGAGGCAUGCUCUCCAGCCCGAGAAUCUAGGCACGAAGGCCACGCAACCACCCACGACUACGGAAAUGGGGAAUCCACGUUCGAGAGGUGGGAGGAUAACGGACGUAGACUGCGGAAAACUGGGAUUCAGAGGAAGCCUAUAAAAAUGUAGCCAACGAAGGUAAAAUGGUUAGCAAUUUUGAGAUUAGAAGGGAGAUAAAGAAAUUCUAAAGAAGAGAAAACUACCCAAAAGCCAUAAGAUCUGUGGCAAGCGUUCCCCGAACCUUCAUAUCUGACUUGAGCGUCGGAGGGUUUGCGUCGGGAAAACAACCGGCGUACUCUGACUUGUCUGUGUGCGCAGGAACCUCUGGAGAAGAAGCUUUACGAGGAGAGAUCCUGGUCGUGGUGAAGUUGAUCGAGCAGAGACCCUGGUCGUAGAACGAGGAGAACCAGAAUCUCGCAUCAACAAAACGUGUAUUUCAACCUGAGUACUAGCGAUUACCAGUGACUGAUUAACACUUGUUUUAAUUGUAUUCAGCAGUCAUAAAAAUUUACUUUUUCUUGUUAUUUAUUUAUACCACACAUUUUGACUACCACAAACUUAAGUUGCUUGGCUGACGUAUUUACCACAAAUAAAAACUAACAUUCGAGGUUUUUCUUUCGACAUUUCUAUAGAUGUUUUAACAUUUUAGAUUACAAUAUUUUUCAAAACUUGAUUUAGUCACUGAUUGUUGACUACGACGACGACAAAAAAUCUAUUUCGUUGUGAAAAGGAAUCCACAAGAGUACAAGACGGAGCCUUGAUCCAGUAAUAUUACGGAAAAUGGUAUUUUGUUUCCUUACAAAUGAAGAGAGGUUCUGUCUUUGCAGUGGGUAAGGUGAGGGUAUAGAACAUAUUAAUGGCUUUACUUAUCAUCAUCAACUUCCUUCUGUGUCUCUCAAUCUUUGUCUUCUUCUUUGUUUUGCAAAGGAACAUAACCUCAAGAAAUAAUACUAAAUUACCACCAGGCCUCCGGGGCCUUCCUUUCAUCGGUAACGUGCACCAGCUUGAUGUCUCAAAGCCUCACGUGUUAUUUUGGGAACUGUCAAAAAAAUAUGGCCCCCUCAUGUCCUUGCGUCUUGGGUUUUCGCCAUCCUUAGUAGUUUCCUCGGCGAAAAUGGCUAAAGAGAUAUUACAAACCCAUGACCUUCAAUUUUGCAGCAGGCCAGCCUUGGUAGCACAACAAAAGUUAUCUUACAAUGGUCUUGAUUUAGCGUUUUCACCCUAUGAUGAAUAGUGGAGAGAGAUAAGAAAAAUUUGUGUCAUUCAUCUCUUUAACUCUAAUAGGGUACAAAAUUUUCGACCCAUUAGAGAAGAUGAAGUUUCAAGAAUGAUUGAAAAGAUUUCAAAAUCAGUUGGUGCUUCUAAUCCCGUAAACUUAAGUGAGGUAAUGAUGUCUCUUACCAGCACCAUUAUUUGUAGAAUUGGUUUUGGCAAGAGGUACGAUGAAGAUAAAGCAACAAGUGGAAGAAGUAGAUUCCAUGCCCUGCUUAAUGAAACUCAAGCCUUGUUUGUAAGCUUUUUUGUUACAGAUUAUUUUCCUUUCAUGGACUGGAUUGAUAACCUCAGAGGAAUGAUGAAACGCCUGCAAAAUAACUUCCAAGAACUCGAUGGAUUCUACCGGGAACUCAUCGACGAGCAUUUGGAUCCAAACAGAACUAAAUCAGAAUUGCCGCAACAGGAGGAUAUAAUUGAUAUUUUACUUCAAAUAAGAAAAGAUCGUGGAUUUAAAGCUGACUUGACUUUGGAUCACAUCAAAGCAGUGCUCAUGGUGAAUAAUUUUAUAAAUAGUUAUAUGUAGACCGGUGCUUAGGCACAGACUCAAAAUUUUGCGCAGAUACCCAAUUUUACAGUCUUGUAAAAUGUUUUAUAGUGCUGUCAAGUGCUCUCUGAUGUCCCCAUCUGAGCACGAUUAACUUAAUAUAGUUUUAUUUGCUUUAACUAAUCUUAUAUGUAUAUAUUUAUGUUCUUUUUUUUUUAAUUUGCUUUUUUAAGUAAUUUAAUAUGUAUAUAUGUAUGUUGUUUGUUUGGCAGAACGUAUUCGUUGCUGGAACAGACACGAGUGCUGCAACUGUGGUUUGGGCCAUGACCUAUCUAAUGAAGAAUCCUAGAGCAAUGAAAAAAGCUCAACUGGAAAUCAGAUCGCUGAUUGGGGGCAACAAAGGGUUUGUUAAUGAAGAUGAUGUUCAAGAACUACAUUAUCUUAAAGCAAUAGUGAAGGAGACGAUGAGAUUGCAACCCACAGGUCCAUUACUAAUCCCAAGAGAAUCAAUUCAAAAGUGCGUAAUAGAAGGGUAUGAAAUACCAGCUAAAACACUUGUCUUUGUAAAUGCAUGGGCAAUAGGAAGAGAUCCUGAAGUAUGGGAGAAUCCUGAGGAAUUUUAUCCGGAGAGAUUCGCUGAUAGUUCUAUUGACUUAAAAGGGCAACACUUUGAGUUAAUACCAUUUGGUGCUGGAAGAAGAAUUUGCCCUGGGUUGCAUAUGGGAAUUGCUACUGUGGAUCUUGCACUUGCUAAUCUUCUUUACAAUUUUGAUUGGGAAAUGCCGCUUGGAAUGAAGAGCCAUGACUUGGACUUUGAUGUUCUUCCUGGAAUUGCCAUGCAUAAGAAGAAUGCUCUUUCUCUUCUGCCUAAGCUAAGUAUCAUGAUGACUAGGUAAAUUAGGGUACCUCUACCAAUAAGUAGAUAAAAAAAUUAGGGAAAUUUACAACCGUCCACCUGUUUGUUUUGUCUUUUUCAAAAAUACACAAACACUUUUUUUUUUUUUCAGCGCGCCACCUGAAGUUCACUUUUUGUUGCAUUCUUCCACUUCCGUCUAAUUUCCGUUAGCAAAUUUAACGGAAUGACCUUUUUACCCCUCAAAAUUACAAUUUAACCCAAAAUAAAUAGAAAUUGGAGAUAAAUUGGAUGGAUUUAAUUUUUUUUCAAAGGUGGAUGCUAGAAAUUGGAGGAAAAUAAUGUUUGUUGCUUGCUAAAUUUAGAAAAUUUGUAUUUAUUUUUUUGGAGGAAAAUAGUGUUUAUUACUUGCUAGAUUUAGAAAAUUUGUAUUUAUUUUUUCUCUUUCAAAAAAAUAAAUACAAAUUUUCUAAAUUUAGCAAGCAACAAACACUAUUUUCCUCCAAUUUCUAGCAUCCACCUUUGAAAAAAUUUAAAUACAUCCAAUUUAUCUCCAAUUUCCAUUUAUUUUGGGUUAAAUUGUAAUUUUGAGGGUUAAAAAGGUCAUUUCGUUAACAUUCCGUUAAAUCUACUAACGGAAAUUAGACGGAAGUGGAAAAAUGCAACAAAAAGCAAACUUCAGGUGGCGCACUGAAAAAAAAAAAAGUGUUUGUGUAUUUUUGAAAAAGGCAAAACAAACAGGUGGACGAGUGUAAAUUUCCCAAAAAAUUAAGGCACCUCUAUCAAUAAGGGUUUGAUCUAAACGAAAUAUGUGUUAUAUGUCCGCAAUUAUGCUUCUCCUCUUCUCCCGUUUUUCUUUCUUUCUUCUUAUGUACAAUUAAUGAUGAUGCGAAUGGUGAUUAAUAAGCAAGUUUCUUUUAGUUCAAAAUUUUGGGAAGUAAAGGCUAGAAAAUAAUGGGAACUUUGCCCGCUCUCCUAUACCUUAAGAAAAGGGCGAAAAAAAAAAAGAUAUGAAUGUGAAUAUUAAUC